UUUUUUUUUUUUUUUUUUGGUUUAACAUUGUAAAGUUAGUAAUUGUAGUAAAGUGUAACUCUAUUUUUAUUCCUUUACUAUCAUGUUCUUGAUAUUGAACUCUAUUUUUAUUCCUUUACCAUUAUGUUCUUGAUAUUGUUCAAGUGUAAACAUAACUAACUUUAAUUCUACAUUGCCUAAUCACGCAAACUAUAAUGUAAACAUCAGUAAAUCUACUGUACAAUGCUCAAUACUUUAUAGCCCAUUGCUCUAGAAAUCAAUAGGGUAAAUGGCAUUAGAAAUGCUGAUACUCACAGCAUCAAAAACUCUGCUUAAUUGUUGGAGUAAUCCAACCAAAGAAUGGCUCAGAAGAAUUCUUCUUCCAGCUGGAUAAAACCCUUUCUCACAAACAACAAUUGUUGUUGGCUUCCCACUACAAACCCUAACCUAUAAAUAAAUUCAAAAGUCCAAUUCAAUCAUAUAUAACUAUAAAUAUUUAAAAGGGAAAAAAAAAGAAAAAAGAAGAAUUUAUCAAAUUACAUCAAUUUGAAAGAAAUCAUCUUCGGAUUUAUCAUCCAGAAAUGGUCGAUUUGAUCUCCUAAUAUCUGCAACAAUUUUUUUUUUUUUGGGAAAAUGACAAUUAAUUCAAGGAACACAUACAAAAUUCGAACGAAAAUAGCAAUAAAUGACUUUAAAAAAACAUAAAUAAAAAGAAAAGCUUACAUUGGAUGGGAGGAGUGAGAUGAGAGAAGGAGAAAAAAUCAUAGAACUGCCCGAGCCGCGGCGGAGGACACAUCAUAGCUGCGAAGGCAUCGCCAUUUUUCUCCGCCGAGUCUCCGUCAUUGGAAAUACUUUCGGGCUUCGCCGGCUUGAGUUUCUGGUGGGGAGCAAUGGUACCGGACUUCUUGCCGGAGACUUUGGGCUUAGAAGUCGAUUCAGAAACGACAUUUUCCGGGCCGGGUUCGGACUCAGCAGAACCGGAUUCCUUGUGACCUGUAUCCUUUGAACCGGGUUUACCGUUGGGUUUGGGCGAAGAAGAUGAAACGCCAAACGACGUCGUGCAAGCGACAAUGUCGAGUAGUCGUCGAAUGUGGGCCACGGCUUGGCUUUCAGUGUAGUCCUCUGCAUAGUUUAUUGGAUAAUGACCCCUAUAGUUUGUAGUAAUGGACUAUAGCCACAAUGCAUUUAAUGAAAAAUAAUUUACAUCAAAAAGUCUAAAUAUUUAUACAUAAAACAUGAGCAUCCUUUCCUUCUUGGAUAGAUUUUAAUGUUUCAAGGAUUAAUAAUCUAGGUAUAAUAGAUAAAUUUUAAAAAACAUUUUACACUUUUUGAAUUGUAAAGUUCAAGAGUUUUUCUAUCCUUAUCAUACUGUAGGAAAUUAGUAUAAUUUGAUUAAUUCAUAUAGGAAAAAGAAGGAAUAAAAAAUGGAAAGUGCAAAUUCUCAACAAAUCAAAUUUGAAACUUUAAAUGAUGAACUAACAUCAUAAACAUUUUGAAACUAAUCAAUUGGAUGUUAUCUCAAUCUUAUUUUGCAUAUACAUAAAAGCAAGACUUGAGACAAGAAAGCAUGUUUCUUAUUUGACAAUUAGAGGGUAUAUCUUAAUUCAAAUUAUACAAAAUCUCACAAAACAAUUACUCCAUAUGAACAUUUCAAUGUGUUUUCUUAUAUAAAAGAAACAUGUUGGAAUUGUAAAUAUUGUAAAUACCUUCAACAAUAAUGAGGUGGCAUGGUUUGAGAGAGGUGAUUUCGAUGGAAUCCUUUAGCCGUGAACCUCGUACCUGGUCAAAGGCACAAACCUUUAGUUAAUUAAUCUUCCUAAGAGAUUUAUUGAAGUAUUUCCACAUGGUAUUUUUAUCCUGGAAUUUUUUUAUAAACUCUUCUAAAAAUAUGCGUCGGAAAAUAUUACCUUCAAAAUAUAUUAUGAGAAGUUGAAAUUAAAGUAAGACAUUCAACUAUAACUCCACAGAGCACUCAACAACUCAAAGUACAACUUUUGGCGUACAUUGGGAAAUGCAGUUGCUGGUUUGCAUAAUCAUGAUCCCUACAACAUUCUGUUUAUUUCUUUUUGGUGAGUUGGCAACCGAUUCUGGCACACUGAGAAAUUUAAUCUCAUAAUAAUUUUGACAUUAAUUGCCAAAAAUACAUUUUGCAUCAUAACUUUUUUGUUAGUCUUGAAUUACAAUUGACAUGUAAGGAUAGUGUGGAAAAUUUAUUGUGACAUUAAAAUUAUGGUUUGGACAAUAUCAUUUAGGGAUAAUAUGAGAAACUUCCCCUGAGGUCUCUACAAAUUUUAGAAAGCUUCCCUUAAUUUUCAAAAAUUAUAGUCACCUCCCUUACUUUCAAUGUUUACGCUUUAAAAUAGCCCAAUAGGUUACCAAUUCCUUCAAAUAUCCUAAACUACCCUUUUGCAAAAAAGAAUAAAAAGAAAUGAUAAAAAAUUUUGUUGAUUGCCCUUCUUCCAACACCAAAGCCAACAAACUCUUUCUGCCAAAAAUAAAAGUUUGAAAAAAAAUCCAACUAUGAUGAUUGCUUUCUUCCAAGCAACACUAGCACAAAAGCUAAGCAAACACCCCAAUCUGAAUCAAAAUCAAUUCCAAUAAUUCUAGCACCCAAAACACCACAACCUGAUUUAUGUCCUGCAACCCCAGCCCCUACAAUUCCUACACAAGUCAAUUAAACUCAUCACUUGGUGCUAAAUUAAAUAAAAAUCAACCUCAAAUUUUACCCAAAACUAAUAUUUCAUCAACAAUCAAUUGCGCUUCUUUCCUCUUCCUCUCUUUGCAACCUCCUUUAUUUUUUUUAACCACCCAUUUCUAGAGCCCAUCCAUCUCUCAAAUUCUUGACUUUUUCACAUCACCAAGUUUUAUCACCCAUAAUCAACCAAAAUUAGAUAAAACAAAUAAACGUAAAAAAAAAAUCAAACCCAUUACACUUAGAAUUAAAAGGAAAAGUGGAUAAGCCUAAUCAUGUUUGCAAACAGAAGAUGGGUAUAGAGAAUAAAGAAGAAGGAAAGGAGGGAGAUAGAUACGAGCAAGGGAUGAUAGACAGAAUUUGGUCCUGAAUUGGAAAAGAAAUAUUAAGUAGAAAGGAAGGCGGUGGGAAUUUGGGCAAAGAAGGAAAUGGAAGAAAAAGCAAGAUAGAAAGGAAGAAGAGAGAGAGAGCAAGUCAACUCUGGUUUUCCUUAGAAUUUCUGAAAUUUUUCCAAAAAAUGUCAUUAAGUAUCCUAUAUAAGGGUAGUAGAGUACUUUUGUAGCAAUAGGGGAGGUAUGUAUAAUUUUAAAAUAUUAAGGGGAUUUUUGUGUAAUUAUCCCCAUCAUUUAUCUUGGCACGAGGCAAAUUUUGAUAACUUUGAUCAUACAUUUCAUUUAUCAAGAUCUACUCUACUUCUAUUCUAGCCUAUUCCUAUUCUAAAUGGGGUCUAACUUGAACAAUCGGGAAACUAACGGCGACUGAACCACAAUCGAAUCAGAUGGGUGCACUAUGUACUCAUAUGGAUUUGGGAAGCCUAUUCCUAUUCUAAGGGAAGGUCCAAUUGGACCAAUCGAAAAAUUGACGGGGACUAAACAACCAUUAGACCAUAUGGGUGCACUAUGCACUCAUAUGGAUUUGGAAAAGUUACAUAUAAUAGCAAAAUGAUGAAAAUUAAGAUUUAAACUAUUGACCUCCCAUUCCACCAAAACUUAAGUCAUUGAUGGUGGCUAAUAGCCCAAACGGCUAUUGGUUACAUGCGAUCUAUUUAUAUAUGGGGCCAAAUCUUGCAUUAAGUGAUUGACUCACGUGGCAUGCUUAAUGCUGAAUGUUCAUUUAUCACAACCAUUGGUUUUAGAGGAUCAGGUCCUCACAAUUUCCAGUUGAAACUAAUUUGCCUCUAAGGUAUAAAUAGGUAGAGACAUAACGUAAAUAGAUUUAGACAAAGUGUAAAUUGGUAAUAUUUUUGUGUAAAAAAUAAGCAAAUGAUAGUAUAAAAUGAUUAUUUUAUCCUCAACUGGUCUGAAAUGGAAUUUGUGAGGCCCUUAUCCUGGUUAUUUUGGUGUAACCUUGCUGAUUAUCUAAAUUCACACAACUUUAAUAACUCGAAUGCUAUAACUAACUCCCGAGUCUUGAUCAAUGCAAAAUCGAUAUGAUGUACCCUUUUUCAUUAUGGGGUAGUAGGACGAUGGAUCAAAGAUUGUGUUUAGGAGGCUCGGAAUUUCAUUCUUGAGGAGUUGGAGAAUUUCCAUUUCCCCUUCACUCAUUGGGGGGGUCAAGGGGUGGAGGGGUUGCUUUGGUGAAGAAGGCAUGGCGUAUGGAGUUUGCGUUUUGAUAACAGAAUUGGAGUUGGACUGAUCGGUACCUGACCUUACCAAUAAUAGAAGAAGUUGAUACACAUUGAAGAUUUGUCCUAACAUGGAUGGAACACUUAGGUUUUGUUUGAUAAAAUUGCAUCUGAAUUCUGAAAUUUGAAUACUGAAAUAAUUAAUUUACUGAAUUUUAAACACUGAAAAGAAAUAUAUGAAUGUCUAAAUUUUAAUACUGAAACUAUUUAUACUGUUUGGUAAACAUUUAUAACUGAAUACUUAAUAAGUAAAUUGUACAAUUUUGCCCUUACAUCUUUUCAUCCAAAAAGGAAAUAGAACCUAUGAUUUAAUUAGUUUAAAAUUGUUAGAUAUGAAAAUGACAUUAUUUAUUUUAAAUCAAAUUAUAUAAAAGAUGAAAUAUAUUAUAUGAAGACUAUGGAGAAGAUUUGAAAGUCAUUAAAAAGAGAGAAAAAAAGAAGUAGAAAACCGUUAGAUAGAGAAUAUCAUAUUGUUUAAUUAGAUAAGGAUUUUGAAUAGAGAAUAUCAGGUUGUUUAAUUAAAUAAAAAUUUUGAACAUAAUUAACAAAUGAGAGUAGAUUUGGUAGAUAAAAUAAGAUAGUUAAAAUAAUUUUAUUGAUUCUUAUCAGAAUUAAGCAUUCAGUUACGAUUCUUGUGCUGAAAAAAAUGCGCACAAGUUCAGCAAAUGGAUUUUUAUUUAUCAAACACUCAAAACAUCUGAAUGUCUAAAAAAGUUCAGUUUCAACACUUUUUUAUGUUAUCAAACAAACCCUUAUUCUAUGCAAAAACUACAAAUACCAAAUAACCUUAGUUUCUUGCUCUAUGUGAAAACUACAAAUGCCAAUUAACAUUUUCAUUGAAAGCUACAAAUGCCAAAUAACAUUUUCAAUUUUUUUCGAGUAUUCUUGCUCUAUAACAUUAGUUUUUCAUUGAAAAAAUAGGGAUAAUUUUAGAAACUUCUCCUGAGAUUUGUGACAAUAUCAUUUAACAUCCUUGAACUUUAAAAAAUAUCACUUGUCUCCCCUAUAUUUAACUUUUUAUAGCAUUGUGAACCCAUUUCAAAAUAUAUUAUUAGAAAACUCAUUUGUGGGUAGAAAAUAUGAUUUUAUUCUAAUAUUGCCAUUUUGCUGUGUAUAAUUUUGUUAUCAUAAAUAAAUCUAAUUAAUCCCUUAACUUUUGAAAACUUGGCAAAUAUGAUUUUUUAAUUAGGAAUCACAAAGUAUUAACAAGGUUGAAAGACCUAUCAAUAAUUUUUGUGUCAUUAAUCUACAUAAGAAAUAUAAUAAAAAUUUGAACUCUAAAUAGUUUAGAAAACUCAUAAAAUUUACCCAACAAUUUUACAAUGAAGUAAAUAACAUUAUGCAUCUUGAAAAUGCCUCAAAUAAGUUUCUAAGUAUAUAGUUAAUAAUUUUAUCUUUUUUCAAGGUUUUUAGGCCAUUGAAAUGGACAAAAAACUUGUAAACAAUUCAUAAAUCCUUAAAUUCAUCCACAAACACUUUCAAAUUAGAAAAUAAAUUUUGCUUUGAAGAAACCUCAAAUGAGCUUGUAAACAUAAACAUUUUGUCUUUUUUUUUUUUGGUUUUCAAGCCAUUAAUCUAGACAAGAAAAUUGGAAAUUCUAAAAAAUUCCUCAAAUUGACCAAAAAUACUUUAGAAUAAUCGAAUAAUCUCAAAAGUAUUUUUUUCGGUAUGGUAAAAUACCUAUUAUUAUAUUGUGGUCAAAAUUAUGCAUUUGCACUAAGUGUCUUUGUUUUCAACCUUUAUGCUUUCAGUUUUGAAAAAUAAAAAGGACAACAAAGGAUUCUUUUAUUUGGAAUGAAAAUAUUGUCUUUAUUCGAAAAUGAAUUUUUAAAUAAUAUAUUUUAAAAUGGGUUGACAAUGUUACAAAAAGUUAAAAGUAAGGGAAACAAAUGAUAUUUUUUUAAAGGGGAGCAAAGCGGACUAUUAGAAACCUCAAGCGAGGUUUUUCAGAUUAUCCCUUGAAAAAAGCCCAAGAUAAUUAGGUUUCAAAAGCCUUUUAACUUUUAAAUUUGAAUUUAAAUCUCGUCCAACUUAUCAAAAUUAUUAUGUUAUUCAAAGAGUCUAAACUUUCUCUCUAAACCAAAUUUAUAGAUCACUAAAAUUUUAAAUCUACUAAUUUCUCAAGCAAUUGUAAUGGAGUUGAUAUCUUUGACUAGAAAAUAUACGACCUAAUCAUGACAUUAUAUCUAAAUUCACUCAAUUCUUGUUGAGAUGUUGGGACCAUGAAAAUGACAUGAUUGUGUUUUAUCUAAGGUUUACAAUCCAUCAGUUCGUAGUGUAAAAUGCAAUAACAUAACGUAGCAUGAAGCAUGAAGAAUGUUACAUUGCUCUACGAAUAUAUAAGAGUAACUGACCUCGUGUGACAAGGAGUAGUUGGUUAAGUGGCAUGUCUCAACAUGGACCGCUAAAAGCUUUCUCACAUCUAAAAUUUUAUCCGUCGAUAUUCCCUGCAGUAAAAUGUCAUUCAAUUGGUGCACUCUGGUAGUAUUAAACGGAAUUGGCAGAAGCCCAGAACUUGUACUUACCUUAAGUGUAACUUGUGAAUCCUCAGGUGUAUCUACUGUUAUUUCUAUAACUGUAGGCAAUACUGCAGUAAAGGCCAAAAAUGCUAAAAUUAAUCAAGAAUAUGCUAGUUAAUUGGAAAACCAAAAAAAAAAAAGAAAAAAGAAAAAAGAUAGAGGUUUGUUUAGUAUAUUUGUGAAGUAAUUGCAUUAUCAGCUGAUUUUGACCAAAAAAAAAAGGGGGCUCUCGACCAAUGACAAGACAAUGUUGCACUUUGAACCACAAGCAAAAGUGAAAAUAGGAACUCAACUUAAUGUAUUUCCUAUGCAAUUUUCUAGGAUAUUGAGAAGUUUUGGUUCAGAAAAUGUUUUGAGGUACUUGAUGCAAUUGUUCUUAUGAUGAGAGAGAAUACCAUGGCAUUAUGGUAACGUGGAAGUGAAACUAAGAAACCAAUUCAUUCAGUCUCAAAGACAACACUAGCGGGACAAGACAAAGAUAAGUAGAAUAGCAAACCUUUCUCUUCUUUCUUCUUCUUCUCUCCUUUAGCUUUGUGGGGCUUAGCCUUCCCACUUUUAGGAGCCAUUUUCUUCUUGAAAGAAUUGGAUUGCGAAUAACUUUUGUUUAGUUUACAACAAUCCUAUAAUCAGCUUUGCUUCACUACACAAUCCAUAAAACUUACGUUAUUACAAUAUAAAUUGCACUACAACCCCUUCUGUUGUUGUUGUUGUUGUAUGACAGCCACCAAUAUAAAUGCACAUAACCCAAAUUAGCUAAUGCUCAACUUUUCUGGGCCAAGCUAAAUAGUUCAAUUCAAGUGAAAUAACAAUAAGAAACGAAGUAAAAAAGCACAAUCAGUAGUUAAAAAUGCUUCAGAAGUUCCAAAUUUAGCUAGUCUGGAAGGUGCAAAUGCAGGUUUGUAAUGCUACAGUGUAUAGUUUUUCGUAGUAGAAGCGAACUUUGUUAUAAACAGAGACACCAUAAAGGAACAUAUACAGGGAAUUAAAAGUAUCUAGGAGAAGGGGGGCCAAAAAGAUAGAAAGAAAGAGGGAAAACUAGCCCUCGUAUUUGUUAUUGUGAGUUUUGAGAGAAGCAUAGGAUAAAAGAAAUGAGAAAUAGAAUGAGAAGAGAGUAAGAGGUGGAUAGGAUAAGAUGACCCAAAACCAUGGCACUUGUGUUUGUCACAACCAGAGGAAUGUCAGGUUGGCAAAUUGGAGCCUCUCAUUUCACUAACUGAUCAUUUAGACGUCUCUCUACAAUUUUUUUGUGCCUUUGUCAUUGGAAGAUUGGGUGAUAGAAGCUGCUGAAAAAAAAUUCAAGAAUGAGUUAUCUUCUUGUCAUUUGACCUUUUGCUAGAGCAUUUGGAAAAAGUACAAAUGGAGAAGUUAUUCAUUUUGGCUUGAUUUGAGAAACAGUAAGUGCUUAAUUGGAUAAAAUGAUGGACUUUUUGCGCUUAAGUUUGUGCCACGUUCAUAUCUACAUUUGUUGUUGGCCGAUAAGGAUAACUUUGUCCUAUUAGGGUAUUGAUGCAAUCGUGAAUUUGUUCGUCAGGAUAUUGAAAGUCUUAGAUCUAACAGGGUUUGCUUUUAGCUUAUUAAACUCAGUGGACCUAAACCAUGUAUUUGUUGAACAGUUUCAAGAAUCAAUAUUGAGAUAAUGCUUGAAAUUGUAGAAAUAAAUUUAUGUCAAAAUUGUUUAAAGCCAAUAAUUGAAAUGGUUAUCAUAGCUUCUGAUAGGAAGCGUAGCUCAAGGAAAAAAGUUACACAAAUAAUUUCCUAAAUACGAAUCGAAGAUUCGAAAGAAUGAGAAGGAAACUCUCUAUCUAUUGGAAUUUCUAAUGGAAAUAUAUGAUAGAAAUGAUAGUUGAAUGAAUAAAAUGCUUAAAAAUACCAAUUUAUAGGUUAGGUCUUUCACUAAAAUAUAUAUAUAUAUAUAUAUUGCGUAAAACAUAAAACGAAUUCCUAGUCGCAAACAAAUGCGCAAAGGAUCCGGCCUCGGAUCACAAGCCACAAAGGACUGGAUUUGAAACUGGAUCUGGUUGGCCUCAAGGAGCUAGGCUAUCCUCUCACGGUUCCCAUCCUCUCCCGAGAGGGACCACAAACUGGAUCAAGGUCAGAAACGACCUCACAUUCUGCCAUCGAACCGCGGGGCUUCAUUUCUUGUCCCACAAGCACUCCAUUUUUGCCCAAAAUUGAUUAGAAACGCGUUUUGUAUCAGUUUUGUUUUCGGCGUUUUUGAGCAUUGGAAAAUCGGUUGGAUCUAGGGUUACAAAUAAGUCGAAUCGAGUCAAGUUUUAGUUUAAAUAAAUUGAGUUUCGACUUAAUUCUAUCAAGUUUGACGAGUUUUUAAUAUAAAAUUCGACUUUGAACUCGAUUCAACUCAAACUUAACUUCAUGAAGUUCAAAAUUGAGUUCGAGUUUAAAAAAAAAAAGAAAAUAAUUAUUUUAUUUUUUAAAAAUGAAUAUAUAUAAAUGUAAUUUUGCUAUUAAAAAAGAUUUUAUAUAUAUAUAUAUAUAGCUGACUUGCAAGUUAACAAGUUGCGUAUCUUUGAAUUCGAUGUUGACCAAGUUCAAGUCGAGUUUUGACUCGAGCUACUUGCAAUCGGUUCACAAGCCAGUCGAUUUAUACACAGCCUAAUUGGACUAAUUGAAAGGCAAACUAUCACCAAGUUAGCUAAAUUUCCCAUGUGAAACGUGAAGACAGAUUUCAUUGUCCUUACUUAUCUCUCCAGCUAGCUUCAAGGACAAUUUUGCUUUUCGGUCAGCAAUAAUUUGAUCGAUCCAUUUUGUAAUGUUAGGAUUAGAGAAGAUCAGUCCUUGUUUCAUUUCCUCGUGAAUAAGAUAGAGAAAGUGCAACCUGUCAUUGCUGAGUUUGCUCUUCCAAAAACGGUAUUCAAGUAGAACGCUAAUUAAUUUCUUUCUAUCUCUGAAAAACAUGGUUCCAACUCUUUAAUGUGGAAUGCCUUAUAAUGCUUUAGGGGCUUCAACUUUAACACAGCCAAAUACCAAGCCAAAGGGCGUUAAAAUUGAAAGUUGGUAAUUCUCAUCUCUCCUGCAUUUAGUACUUUUCCUCUUCACUGCACAAAAAAACCAACUAAAACUCGAAAUUCUUGUCAGUUUCUAGAUUUUCUACAAAGACCAUUUGGUCCAUACAUCGUUUGAGUCAUAUGUUUUAGUAUCAUAUUUUCCCUUCAUUUCUUCACGAAAAUGUUAAACAAACAAAAAGUUUGCUGCUACUAAUUAUUUCCAAGUAGAAAGUGGACUUGUGCAUUUACAUGAUCUCGGUCAAGCAAUUGUGUAUGAUGACCUGAAUCUAUCUGGUCUGCAAGUACAAAGUUAGUCUAGUGAUGUGAAAUGUGUAGCACAAGAAAUCUUGGACCAAAAGGAUCACGCAAAAGAGCAUAAGAAGAAGCUGGGUGGAAUAAAGCAUCAGGAUGAAAAUGCAGCCUCACCCGUGUUUACUCAAGACUUCCACUGACAAACAUCAAACUUUUUUUUUAAAUUUUUCCCUUUAUUUCUGUUUUUAAUGUAAUUUCGUUUACUUUUGGGUUUAGAACUUCUUAGCUAUAUAUAGGAACAUAUGAGGGCUUAUUUAAUGAGACUUUUGACAUCAUUCUUGAAAUUCUUAAAACUUGAUGUGUUUGGGUUCAAUACCUAGAUUGGAUUCUUGUUGAAUCUGAAAAAAGUUCUAGUUGAAUUUUGGAUUUUCUUUUCAAAUCAUUAAGAGUCUUGUGCAUCAAAUCAUCAAGAGUUUUUAUAAAAAUGUGAUCAUCCAUUGUGGGAAAAUUCUGAUUUCUAUAUCCGACUUCCUUUCAAAAAGAAUGAGGAUAUAAAUCCCACAAAAGCUAGUCAUUUGGGAAUGAAUCCUGAAGAUUCCAAACUAGCUAAGCAAGAAUGUGUUGAACUCUUGAAAUUUGGUCUUAUUGAAAAAUCUGAUUCUUAGUGGGCAAGCCAAGCAUUUUAUGUCAACAAAAGAUCUGAGCAGGUAAGAGGAAAAAUGAGACUGGUAAUUAAUUAUCAGCCUCUCAAUAUUUUUCUCCUUGAUGACAAGUUUCCUAUUCCUAACAAAUUUACAUUGUUUGCCCAUAUUUCGCAAGCUAAAUGGUUUUCAAAAUUUGAUCUCAAAUCUGGAUUCUGACAGUUGGGAAUACUUCCAGAAGAUAGGCACAAAACUGGUUUUUGCAUUCUAAAUCAUCACUUCCAGUGGAAGGUGAUGCCUUUUGGUUUAAAAACAGCACCAUCACUUUUUCAAAAGGCCAUGAUCAAAAUCUUUCAGCCUAUUCUUCAUAUUGCACUUGUAUACAUUGAUGACAUACUUCUUUUCAGUAAUACUUGGGAAGAACAUAUCCAAUUGCUUAAUGAUUUUCACAAAAUUGUUAAGCAAUAUGGUAUCAUGAUUUCUGAAAAGAAAAUGAUUUUGAUAAAACAAGAAAUUCAAUUUCUUGGCAUGAAAAUUUCUGAAGGAUAGUGCACUCCUGAACAACAUGUUGGACAAUCAGUUGUAAAUUUUCCAGAAAAAGAUUUGUCAAAAACACAAGUUAAACAGUUCCUUGGAGUUGUAAAUUAUGUCCGAGAAGUCAUUCCAAAAGCUGCUAAGCAUAUUAGUCCUCUGACUAAAAUGCUUAAGAAGAAACUACCCCUGUGGGGACCAUCUCAGACCAAAGCAAUCCAAAAUUUGAAGAAAGAACUUCUUUGUCUUCCAACCUUGUACAUUCCCUCUGAUGGCAAGAAGAUUUUACAGACUGAUGCCAGUGACAAAUACUGGGGAGCUAUCCUGCUUGAAGAAGAUAACAGGGACAAAGACAUUGCUGUGGAUUUGCAAGUGGAAAGUUCAAAAUUUCAAAACAACAUUAUCAUUCCACAUUCAAGGAAAUACUUGCAGUAAGAAAUGGAAUUAAAAAAAUUCUCUUUCUUUCUUAUAUUUCAUCAUUUCUUGGUUGAAAUAGACAUGGGAUCAUUUCUUAAGAUGCUGCACUUUAAACAAAAAAUCAUUCCUCAUCCACAACUACUUCGUUGAUCAGCAUGGUUUUCUCAAUAUUCCUUUGAUAUGAAACAUAUCAAAGGAAAAAAGAAUGUUGUAGCUGACUUUUUCUCAAGAAAAGAACCAAUUGAGCCAAAAGAAAUUUCAACUUGUUUCAUGUUCACGCCAGUUUACUCAGAACCCCCAAAUAUUCAUGAAAUUCCUUAUCCAUGGGAAAAAGAAGACAUAGAAAGAAUCUGAAACCAAUAUGAACUAUAAGUUUUUAGUUCAUAUGGAGGAUCAAUCUUAAGUCCCUUCGGAACAAAUCCUGAAUAUCCUUUCUGUCAAAUCUUCAUAGACAACCCUCAUGAUUUUCUCAAACCAUUGCUAUACUAUUUUUGGUGUUUAUGCCAUCAAUAUCAUAUUCCAAUGAAAUUUCAGAGUCCAUUCUUUAAUCAACCUUUAAAUCUGAACCUUCAAAUUUUUCUGCAAUGAUUUAGGCCAUUAACCUUCUGGUCCGGAUUAUUCUCAACAAAUUCCAAUCAUGUUAUCUUUCAUUUUCAUAGACCAAGUCAUUUGCUCAAUAACCAAAUCCAUUCUCUUCUGAGUACAGUCAUUUAUAAAGAAAUGUCUCAUACUAUUUUAGACCUUGAAUAUGAGUAUGAGGAAGCAUAGAGAUACAUAUUUCAAGAAAAUAGAUGCAUUCCACCAGAAAUUUGGUCAGGACAUUAUGGAUCAUGAAACUAUCAAACUAGUCAUCCUCACUGAACUAGAGCUCAAAAAGCCAAAAAAAACAGUAUCAAGAUGCAAUAAAUGACACAAUAAUGACACAAGUCAAUCAGAAACUGGUCCCUUCACAUCUUCUUAUGUCCAUAAAAAAAAGAUCAGAAGCAAGUAGACAGCUGAACAACAAAAGGAAUAGGAGAGCACAUGAAGAUUUCAUUGAGAUGUACAACAUCACUGAUCCAGAUACUACUCCUUCGGAUAUCCCAGAUGAUGACAAUUAUUGGUGUGUCUAGUUGUCACAAGUCAUGUAGGCUCCAGUAAUAAAGAAAGUUGUCUGUAACUUUCUUGAAGAGUCAUUUGCAACCUUUACUUUUCUGAAGGGUCAUUUGUCUUUUGUGUUCUUGAAAGGUUGUCUAUUACCUUUCACCAAGAGUCAUUUUACUAUUUGCUUUUUGAAAGGCCAAGUAUCCGUGACUUUCUUGAAAGGUCACUUUAUCUUGUAUAAAUAGAUUACUCUUACCAUUUGGAAGAUCAUCGACUAUCUAGCCUUGAAUAAUAUCUGAAAGUUUUCUCUAAAAAUGGCAGCUUAAACUCUUUAAUUUUCCCUUUGGGAAGGUCGAGAUCUCUAUGAAGGUAACCAGACUCUGAUCUUGUGAUAAAAGUCCCUUGAACUGUUGAAAGCCCAAGAAAGGGAGACUGUUGUGUUCGAGAAUACCUUCAAAAAUUGGAGCUGGCUACUCUGAGUUUGGUAUCAAAGCCAGACCUAAAGGGAAAACUUUCAUCAUUUAUAUCUGUUUGUUUAUCUAUCAUCUAUCUAUGAAUUCAUCAUAUCUUGUAAACCCUGAUCCUUAUAAUUUUGCUGAUAUUCCUUCUGAUUGGUAUUGUCGUGUUUUUCAACAGGUGUGGAAGGAAACCCCAAUCUUUCAAUUUGAGACACUCAGUAAAGUAGAAUUAUUAGAAUAUAUAAAUAAGUUGCAAGCUGAAAUAUUAGAACUUUUAGAGUAUUUGCAUCUUUUUUCAUAUCAAAGAGUCAGUAGACAGGUUAUCAUAGAUUAUCUGUGGUAUCGUAUUUUUCUGAUAAAUAGUGCUGAUGAUUUCAAUAGAAUAGAUUAAAUUUCAAUAUCAAAUAUGAGUGCUUCUACUUCUAGUGAGCUUGUGUUAAAUAAAACUAAUAGUAAUAAAUUAGAUUAUCUGUAUGAAGUAUCUGUUGAAUCAGAGGUAGUUAAUCAUACCUCUUUACCUGUUAUUAAUCCCUAUUCUGCUUUUAGAAAACAACAAUUUUCACCAUUAAAAGCUAUUAAAUCCCUGAUCAAGCACCAUCCAAAGGGCAUAAAAGAAUAUAUCCAAGUUUCAAAGGUGGAUCAACAACUUAUCCUUGCUACUAAGAAGGAACAAUUCAUUACCCUCUACAUUCAUCCAAAAUUUCCUUCUCAAUGGAAACAACAAGGGUUUACCCAUAUCCACUUUGGUGCAAUCAGGUUUUCUUUAUCCUUUCAUGGUAGAAAAGGACUACCUAUGGUGGCUCGCAUAGCUUUGCUAGACACCGGAUUCACAAAGUACCAAUAUGCUUGUAUAGCAACUGUGAAAACUAUUCUUAAUGUUGGAACUGUUUUUGUGACCCUUUUCUCCAAUUUUAACAUGUCUCUGUCAGACCCUCAUUUGCUUGAUGCUCUCAAGGUUCAGGUACAAAUAAUAGAAGCAGAUCAGGCAACAGAUGUUAUUGUUGCAACCCUCUACUAUCAUAUGGUGUACAGGGUCCAAAACCUUGCACUGGGAUCUAACAAUUCCUGGUGGAAAAGAAGUUCUUUUCAUUCGUGUUGAUGAGAAAAAUUCAGCUUCCUGCACCCAUGUUCUCCGACAGAUCUCAAAAUCAGAGCUAAUUCAAUUAUUACCUGAUAAUUGGAUUACUAAUUAUGAGUCCCUACACUCUCAACCAAAUGAAUCCAUUGAGUCUUCAAACUCAAAAAUCUCCUAAACCACUGAAGGGAGAAUUUCUAUUACUUUUGAUCAUUCUCAUUUAAAGCCAAAUCCAAAGAAAUCUCAUCCUGCUGUUAUGCUUGCAGAGAUUCCUAUGGAGUUACCAACUGAAGAAGGAAAAGAACUAGGUGCUUAUGAUGAAAACUGGGAAAGAUGCAACCUUCAAGAUAUUAUUGCCUAUUUUAACAAGGAAGGUCAACCAGUUCAUCAUUUUCAAGAUCCUAUUUCUGGACAUAUAUAUUUUGAUGUAUGUAUCAGAUAUCAUGAAUGCUGGGAAAAUUCUCUUAUCGAUGAUGAUUAUUCAUCAUUCUCAAAGAAGAAAAAGAAAAAACAACUAGUUGAGUAUAGGCCAUGCAAGCUAGAUCUUGAACCAUAGGACCCUGACUCUAACAACUUCAUGUCAGAAAGAAGUAGCUUCGAUGGCUACCAAAUUCCAUCUUCAUGGAUCUCUCUAGAACCACAGGUUCCCAAACAAGUCCUUCAUCCUUACUAUUAAAAGUGUCUAGAUAUUUUGGAAAAGGAGGCCAAGAAAGAAACAAAGAAAGUAAAACAAGAAUGGAAGCCAAAGCCAGUACAACCAUCAAAAUGUCUGUACCAAAAGCCUAAGGAACCUCUUCAGCAGAUCUUCAUGUUCAAUGAAGAAGAUUUCCCCAAGUUAGAACCUUUUGCUAAAAAUGGUUCUAGACAUGUCCCAAAAGUUCAGAAUGCUCAUCCUAAAGUUCUCCCAAUAGGAGAAACGAUCAGAUCUAGUCCUACUGAGAAGAUUCUGAAUUGGCAGACUAAAAAUUUCUUGGUUCAAAAUACCGCUUUGACAUCCAUUCAUAAGAAUGUGACUGAGGUAAAAGGAAAAAUUGAUCAUAUUGCUACUGCAGUCAAAACUCAAAAUUCUCAAGUAUCACAUAUGAUUGAAGUUCUCAAAAAAAGGUUUGAAAAUUUGAAAUAUGAAUUGCCUUCACAUUCUUCAUCUUUGGCUAACUUUGUUUUGAAUCUGGAAAAGGAAACUCAUUUCAUCAAAAAUCAGAUUGAAACUCUCAGGACUACAGGUAAGGUUCCUGACUUUGAUGUUGGACCAAUUGAACCACCUGUACCAAAGGUAAGUCCAGGUUUUGGUGCCACUCCUAUAAGAAAUUGGCCAAAUCUUUUUUACUUUGGUGGUGUAACUACACCUAAUCCUUCUGUAUUCUUUCCAACUCAACAAGAACAGACUCCUCCUCCUUUUGAUAUUGCUAAAGUAUUACGAGAAUAUCGUAAGAACAAGCAAAAAUAAAAAGAUGAAGAAAAGGAAAGAAAGAAAGCUGACGAAGAAAUGAAAAGAAAAAGAAAAAGAAAUUGUUCAAGAGCCGGAUAGUUCAUUGAUGUAUACAAAAAUACAUACUAAUCCUAUAUUUUUUCUUGAACAGGAAAAGGAAGCAGAAAAGACUACCAGAAUUUAUGACAAUCCUUUAUCAUCCAUGUUGGAAGAACUACUUCAGGAAUCAGUGCCAUACAUUUCUACUUAUGACCAGUUGGAAAAAGAUUCAAAAGAAUCUAAUUCAAUGGAAUCAGAGCAAGAAUCUGAAUCAGAUGAUAGUCAAACUUCAGAAGAAUUUGAUGAAAUGACAUCUUCUGAAGAAGAAGAAAUACCGGUCAUAAACAUGGCUACUGAGGCAGAAGUAGUACAUCCUGAUGAUAAAGAAGAUAGUGAAGGAGAAGUCUGAAAUGCUUCCAGGACUCAGAGGACUACUUUUUCAAAAACAAAGGGAGUUCAAAUUUUUACUAUUACUAUUGAUGAUAUCCCAUCAGGAAAAUGGGAAGCAAGAUUCCAGGAUUUUCAUGCUUGGAUGAUUAUCCAGAAUCUUACAGAAGAAUCUCAUUUUGAAAUCUUGUCUAACUUCACUGCUCAUUUUUCAGGAAUCCUUAAGGAUUGGUGGUCGAGUUUAGCAAAGCAGGACAAGAUGUAUUUUUUAACUCGCCAAAAUUUCUCUGAAAACAUCAAUAUUCUGCAUUUAAUGUUUAUUAGAGAUGUGAAAAAGAGCAAGGAGACAAAAAGAAAAGAAAUGAAAUAUUUUUCUUAUGAUUGUAAAGAUAUUAAUACACAUUUCAAAAAGAUGACUAAAUUAUUUUUUGCUCUUGGUGCAUAUAUUAAUCUUAAACAAGCUUUUGUGAGUUCACUUCCGAAAUCUCUUGCUGAUGGAGCAGAAAUGUAUAUCCAUAACAAAUAGGGAUCUAUCUUGAAUUUGAAAUAUGGAUCUAUCUUGAAUUUGUCUGCAGGACAAAUUAAGCAGGCAGUGCUCUUAUCCUUGGAUGAUCUUUGCAACAAAAAAAAAGUUAUUCAAGAAUAUCUCAAAGGAGAUGUUUGCCUAGAUCAAUCUUGUAAAAAGCCUGAGUUAAUUACAAAAGGGAAGUGUCAAGCAUGUGCUCCUCACAAAGGUUGUGAUAGAAGUCAGUUUGCCGAUUUCUGGAUUUAAUGUGAGAUUUUGGUUAAUAUUUGGACCAUUUGCUGAUGAAUGUUGGGCGUCAUUCCUUUUUCUUAGAUUAGUUAAUUUGGAAUUGAAGGAGUUUGUAGUUUAGAAACUAACCAGGGUGAUGUUUCUCGGAUUUUGAUCACUGGUGCUUGAUAUAUGGUUUUUCUUGGUAUUUUGGCAAUAUGGUAGAUAGAGCAAUAGCCAUUGUCAAAUAUUGGUGUUUGUUUACUGUUCUUAUGUUUGAGGACAAGUAUGGUUUAGGUGUGGGGGGAAUUGAAAGGUUGCAAUUUUAUCAUUAAUUUUAUUAUUAAUUUCUCCUAUUACCUAAUUCAAUGUGGAUUAAUUAUUAGAUUCUAUUCACUUUUGACAAUUCGCAUUUAUUUCAGGGAGUUGAUCGAAAACACCAUAACAAGUGCCAAUUUAGCAAUCAUCAGGAAAGAGUUCGAGUAGCAAGUAUCCAGGGGCAUUUUUGAAACAAGAAGAUGCGGACCCUUUUUGGUAAUUUGUGGAAGACAACAUUGAAAAAGAAGAAAAGGUUGGAGUCUUCGGCUGGAUGGGGGGCGGCCGCACAGUAGCAGUAGGCUACUUAGAUACGAAAUGGAGAUUGCAGAGAACUAGCUCUAUCUUUAGCUUUUGACUUUUCUUCGUUUCUUUAGCUCUGAGUAGUUUUUCAUCUUCUUGGUAUGUAGGACUUUUAGCUUAGCAUUUCUUUUGACUCUUCCUUGGAGUCUUGGGUGGAUUCCUCCUGUGCAUGUCAGGAGCCCUUGGAGUAUUCAAUCACUUUCUAUAUUCUUUUACCAAUUGAAUGAAUUGAACCCCCUCGACCAAGGACAAUGGCUGUGACUUUUACUUCAAUUUUGCAUGGGUUUUUUGUAUCAAAUAUGAACUAAUUCCCUCACUCUAGUCAAGGAACAACAGAGACUUUGGUUCGCCUAAAAAUUGUGAGAUCGAUCUAAUUUUAUCAUUUUCUUUUAUUUAUUGGUAUUCACAUAUUUCUUGUUUGCAUUGCUUGUGAUUAUUUAAUUAAUUGAUUAUUUUGGAUCCGAAUAAUUAGUUAAUUUUGUAAUCUAUUGUCAAUUAGGGCAUUAAAUUCGUAAUUGCUUAAUUGCCUUGAAAUAGUGACAACUGGCAUGAUUAGAUUUGUGUCAGCGGUAUAUGCGGGCUAAUCUCAAAUAACCCUGGUAGUGCGUUAUUUGGUUAGAGUAGGGCUUCUCUAAUACGUAAGGCAAUUGGAAAAUUAAAUCUUAUGGGCGUACCUAGAAUUAUUUUCCAAUUAGGGCAGUGAUUAACGGGCGUACCUUAAUCACCGAUACAGUAAGGAGGGGUUGACUGUCAUCGCUUGUUUGGCAGUUAUAACCUAUUUAUUAAUAAAUAAUUGGAAUUGCUUGUGCAUCGAUGAUCAAUUAGGUGAACCAUUAUUGAAGUUAUUUCUUGGCUAGACCUUUAAUUAUUGUUACUCUAAUUUUAGUGAAUUGUCAUUUAAUUUCUAACUAGCUAUUUAUUUUUAUUUUUAUUUGAAUUUCUUUGAUUGUCUUCGUUUACACAAAAAUACCCCUUGUGUUACUUUGAAUUCUUAAGAGGCAAAUAUCCCCAAUCUCUGAGGAUACGACCCUACUUGCCCUGUCUACAAAUUCAUAAUUAUUUGUGAAAAAAGUCAUCCCAUUCGGGUAUAUCGGAUCAAGCAAACUCUUCGAGAAUAGGGUGAAUCAAGUACCCUAUUGCACAUCUAGAGUCCCUACUCCAGUACUUGGAAUCGAGUUUUGACUAUUUUAACUGGCAAUUAGGUUUAUUUUUAUUAUUGUACAGGUUUCGAUAACCUGUCAAUUUUUGGCACCGUUGCCGGGGACUGAUGCCAGAUUAAUUUGUUUCUUUUUAAGUUCAUCUUUUUUUCAUUUUUUAUUUAUUUUUCUCUUAUUUUUUUAUAUAGUUUAUGGCUGCUAACAUUCAGUACUUUGAUGAUAGAUUAGACUUUAUUCCUGAAUGGGGUUAUGAGACUUAUGUUUUUCCUAAUGAUCAAUGGGUUGUUACAAAUUGUGGAACUUAUUUUGCCUCAGGUUAUUCAACCGACACAUGCCCCGUAUUUCAAGAUAAUCUAAGUGCUCCAAUUGAUACUUUUGGAGAUUUUCCACCUCGAUUUCAAACGUGGUAUUGUUGACCUUGAUCCCUAACUUUUGAUAUUUACAAAAUAAUGGAUAAUAUUAAUAUCUAUUCAAGAAAUACUUUCAGUUAUGAAGUAAAUUAGAUUCAAAAGAUCAAGCGCAAUUGAAAAGGACAAAGGCUGCUGAAAGCUGUCGGACACUUGUGAAAUCAGGAUUGGACAUCCGAUACUCAUUGCGCAACUUCGAACACAUGAAGAGCUCCAUCACCGGACGUCUGAAAGAAUUAAGACAUUCCACCUAGCUCACUGAUCUCUUUCAGAUGCAAGUACCGGACGUCCGAUAGAAUUGAAGAAAAUUUCUCAAACUCACUACCUGCUGUCGGACGCAAAAAAUAGGAGUACCGGACGUCCGACACUCCCAACGGCUAGUUGACUCUUCAACUACUUUCUAUUCGUUGAAAGUAUUAAUGAAGCACUUUCUUGAUUUCCUAUAAAUAGAGUAUGGUCAGAAACUCCAAAUUACUUUUGCACACUGAAGAUAUAAAAGAUCUUAAAUAAUUUUAGUGAGAAAACACUCUCCAAGAAAGAUUUGUAGUCUUAGUGAUGUGGGGUUCAUUGUAAGUUUUUCAUUUGUGAGUGAAUAUUUCAUGAAUGUAGCUCUGUGAGGGUUGUCUUGAGGGAUAGUAAAACUUCCUAAUUUGACCGAAUAGAGUUCGGGACAAGGAGGAGGUAAACCUUCCUUUGUACACAAGAGUGAUUGUAAUUUAUCAACUUGAAGAAGUUUGUUUAAAUUAAUCUACAAGCUCAAGAGGAGUUGAGUAGUUAAUUGGUUUGCAAUUCUUUCCUUUUUAUUUACUUAUUGAUACGUUUGUGAUUUUUACAUUGCUUAUCUCUUCUACUUCUCUCAAGUGAUUUUGUUCAUUCAUUAAUUGAUUCAUUGUGUGAUCACUUAGAAAAGAGGGUAAAUUUCAUAUUGAACAAAAAGUACCCAUAACUUGAUUAACUUUUUAAUCAAUCUAAUUCACCCCCUCUAAGGUUGUCUUCGAUCCUUACAAUUGGUAUCAGAGUUUGAUUUUCUAGAGAUUAACCUCAAGCAGCUUAGGAGUAAAAAUGACAACCAAUAAUGUCAUAUUUUUUAAAGGACAUUCUGUGAUUAGACCGCCUAUAUUUAAUGGGUUAAAUUAUGUGAGUUGGAAAGAAAGAAUGGUUAUAUUUUUGCAAUCAAUUGAUAUUGAAUUGUGGUUUAUUAUUAGUGAAGGUCCAUAUGAUACCUCUCUUAUAGAUGAAAAUACUCAUAAAUCUAGACCAAAAACUAGAAAUGAACUGACUGCUGUGGAUAGAGCUCAUCUUAUCUUAAAUGUGAAAGCCAUGAAUGUGUUAUAUUGUGCUUUAGAUUCAAAUGAAUCCAUUAGGGUCAAAGGGUGUAAGUCUGCUAAAGAAAUUUGGGAUAAACUUAGAGAAGUCUAUGAAGGAAAUGAGAAUGUGAGAGAACAAAAGAAGUCUAUUCUGGUUACCAAAUAUGAAUCGUUCAAGAUGGAACCUCAUGAAAACAUUGAUAAGAUGUGUUGUAGAUUCAAUGACUUCAUUAAGGAUUUAGAGGUGCUGGAAAAGGAAUACUCUCUAUGUGAGAAAAAUAGAAAAAUUUUGAAUGCUUUAUCAAAGGAUUGGGAGAAUAAAAUGACUGUCAUUGAAGAAGUUAGAGAUCUAAAUUCCUUACCUAUUGAAUCUCUUAUUAAUUUUCUAAUUUCUUAUUGUCGCGCCCCAUUUUUUAAUAAUAAAUAAGAAUGAUAAGUGAAUGAAGUAUGGUUUGAAAAAUGGUGAUGUGUGUGAAAAUGAAAGGGAAAGGCCAUGGGACUUUGAAAUGCGACAUUUUGGCCAAAAAUAGUAAUCUAAAAAGGUUUUGGUAAAAUGUAGGAGUCGCACUUGGUAUUGAAUUAGGGUGUACCAAGUCACCCAAAAAAUGUGGAUUUAAAUGUAAAACCUUUUUAGAUUGACUCCAAAAUCUACGAUAAAUCAGAGAAAAAUGGUCCGGGGGUCACAGUUGAAAAGAGGGAAGGCAAAGACAAUGUCUAAGGCAACAUCUCAAUCUAACUUAAGUUAGUUGCAUGAUUUAGUCAUGAUUUUCCUAAUUUCUAACCAGAAGAUGUAUCGCAUUUGGAUGUAACUAAUAUGAAUGCAUCCUAAACCUAAUGAGGAAUCCAAAGGGACAAAUAUCUCUUAGAAGCUCGAACAGACUAAAUCACAUGAGUUGUGAUAGCCAAGGAUAACCCCUCCAAGAGGUCACGAGUAAUGGUAAUGACGAAAAAAUGAAUGGAACGAAUGUAUGCAAUGUGAAAACAUGAGCUUGUGUGAAGUGAAAAAAGUAAUAAUAAAAAUAAUUGUGUGUAAGUGGGAAUGUGCAAAUGGGGGUGCAGGGUGAGGUAUGUAAAGUGAUGGUAUGAAGUGCAUGUGUGCUCAGUGGUAGUAUGUAAAGUGUUAGUGAUAGAGUGAGAAUGUGUAAGAUAAGAGUCAUGUGAAGUGAACAUGUGAAAAAAGUAAUAGUAUAUGAAGUGAGAGUGCAAAGUGAUAGUGAGUAAAUGAAAUGUACGAAUCCUAAAGGAAUGCAAACAAAACGGGUACGGGGAGACCCUAAAUCGUGACUUUUGCUUUUCCUUUUGGUUAGACAAAGAAUGAGCGUGCUAAGGCUGUGUGUAGCCAAACUCGUCCAUUCCCCUUACCAGAAGGGUGACUCUCUAAACUAAUCAGGCAAAUGACCCUAAUAACUAGAAUGAAAUGCAACAAAUCCUAAAGAUCAUACUUAGAAUGUGGGAAAGGGGAAAGGAUCAUGCAAAAAUGUAAAAAUACUAACAAAUGCAUGAAAAUGUAGUGAGGGCAUGCGAGCAUGUACUAGCGAGGGAUGGCCCUAUUGGGUCUAGCAUUGAACUAACCCUUUACUAACGCUCUCUCACAAGCAUUGGACUUGUGAGCGAUCGGGAAUAAAUAACCAUGACUAGCAUUGGAUUAACCACGGUAACGUGCAUUCCAUCCACAUAAUCAGAUAUAAUACCAAAAAAAUAAAUAGGCAUGCCAAGCACAUAGUUUCACAUAGCACAUAGCACAUAAGCAUGCUUAUUUAGAUGCAAAAGCCUAGGGAAAGCAAUUAAACACAUAGCACCUAAGCAUGCAAAUCACACAAGCGAAUAAAAAUCCUAACUAUUAGAGGGGGGCCUACUACAAUUUAAAGGGGGAAAUGAAAAUAAAUGAAUAAAAUAAAUACCUAACUAUUACAACUUGGCAUUCAAGCCUUUCAAAUAAUAAAAUCCAAGCUUGAAAAUAAAUAUUCAAAACUUGAAACAAAUAAAACAAAUAAAUGAAAUAAAACAUUCAAGAGGCAUGUAAUUAAGCACAUAAAGUUACAUAAGGGCACAUAGAAAGUCAAAUAAGUAAAAAUAAGGGAUAGAGUGUACCUUCCUUGAAUUGGGGCCCCAAAUAAAGUGAAAUGACUUAUUUACCCUCCAAAACAAUAAAAAUGUCAAGGUACCACUUUAAUUAGAAAAUGAAAGAAAAUGUCCAAACACGAGCUCGCGUGGUCAUAAAGCCCUUAAAAUCAUGAAUUAAGUGCAAUUUAAACAAAGCAUGGUAGUUAAUUGAAGCAAACAAGCAAUGAAGUUGCAAAAUUAAGGCUGCCAAGGACAAAAUUGAUGAAAUUAUUCAAUUGAUUGGGUCAUAGUAGCAUCAAGGAGGCUUGAGGGGUUAAAAGGCAAUUUUUUAAAAGUAUUUUGGCAUGCAUGCAUUGAAGACUUUCGGCCAAAUGAAGUCACUUUGUUUUUACCAUUUCUGCUGCAAUAUAAUGGGUUUCUCAGAUGCAAUCCUAAAACAACUAACAUCUCAUUCAAUCAAUCAAAGCUAUCGACAUUAAUUAAAGAUCACCACCGAAUUCAAUAAGUCAACAACUUAGAAUGAGGUAAUGUAAAAUCCAGCAACCUUUCAUGCAAAGUGACGUGUGAAACAUUCUGCAACAAGGUUUCACAAACUUAUGAAGCUUUCGGCAAAAGACUUCAAACCAAAUCUACUAAAACCGUUGCUCAACACUCGUUGUUUAUCAACCCAAAUUCACGUACCUCCACAAAUUCUUAAUUCAAACAUGGUUGUUCAGCUUUAAUGAAUCCCUCAGAUAGAACCCGAGCCAAGAAAACAAAGACAAAACAGUAAAAUGCAGCAAAGGACUCCAGCCGAAACUUCAUUUCGAGCAACUGGAGUCCUUUUCUCUUAAUGCAAAUAGUCACAAUGGAUUCACAGUAUUGCACCAAUUCAUCUUUUAUUAUGUUCUUAACUGGCCCAUGGACAACACAUUCCGAACACCGAAUGAAAACAGGUCAUGGCAAAAUUGAUAAACUCAUGAAACUUUGAAACUUCAACAACUUCCAGUCACAAGCGCAGCAAAUGUGACUUGCACAGCUAUUAAAACUCGACCAGAAAAUCAAGGAAAGAAAAAGUUCUGUAGCAUUGCUGUAAUAUCUCAGCCCAACAUAAAUCAGAAAAUAGACAACCCUCUUCAAACGCAGAAACCAGACAGGGAGCUGAAAGGGUUAGAUGGAACAUUACAAGAACAAGACAUAUUCGGACUGUGAAAAUGCAAAUGAAAUGCAAGAAAACAGCGAAAACCUCCUUUUAUUUCAUGCACUUGAAGGGCCAGUAGCCAAUAUGAUGAACAAUCAUCAACUUGAUGAUGGACUUCAAUACAAACAGAAAUAAAGGUCAUGCAAAUCGGGAAAACUUUCUACAACUUCCUCGAUAUUCUUAAUCAAGCUCAGAAAACAGCAUUAUCCAUCUUGUUAUGAGCAAAAUAGAUUAUGUAAAAGGUCAAACCACUCUAAUGAGUCUAGACCACAAACCAAAACAUGUAUCUAUCCACUUGAAACAAACUAAACCUGAUAGCCUAAGUAUAACGAAUACAAGGCAACAUGGAGAAUGUCAAAACCCCAACCCCCUUCUUCUACUUCCCCCAGACCCAAUAUUAUAACCCAAGACCUCCAAACAUUACCGCAAGUUAAACAGGAAACACUGCCUAAGAUUUCAUGUCAUUUUCUGAUUUUGUUCAUACAAUCACAUGCGGGUCAGCCAUGAACAAUAAACAAACGUUUCGCGCAUUCAUCAUAUAACCCCACGAAAGAAAAGACAAAGAACAACCCAAAACGUAACAGCGAAGAUCUCAACAUUUCUGAGCCAAAUCUGAUGGUAUUUGACGGGUAAGGAUGAAGAUAUUACCUUAAUCACCAAGUGAGGCAAGGGAUGAUCAAGAAAAGGUUCAGAUGGUUCUGCUAGAGCUUAAAAGGAAUGCCAAUGGAAAACGAUGAUGAUGAUUCAGUCACCUCCUUGCAACCCCAAACCAGACUCUCUCUUUUUUUUGAUGUCUUCUCUCGUUUACCGUCACCUCUGUCUUUCCUCCUUGCUCUAUCUUAGUUGUUACUCGCUCUCCGUCUCUAUGAAACCUUCCUCUAAGCCCGUAGUUCUCUCCCUUUUUUCCCUUAGUUUCCUCUCCAUUUCUCUCCUAGCCGCCAAACCUAUCUGCUAUCAUCAGUCGUCCUCUCCCCUCUCUCACCGUAACCCCCCCUCUUUUCACUUUGCUGCGGCUGUGACCCUUUUAUCGGGAACUCGGCUCUCUAACCCUCAUUUAAAGGGCUCCCCAAGAAUCCUCAAUUCCUGCCUUUUCUUUUAGCCAUUGGAUCCUUUCCCUUCUAGGUUACUCCCGCAUGCUUCUUUUCUUUUCUUUUUUCUCUUUUCUUUUUUUUUUCCAAUGAAUCGGUUAAUCAAUAAUAAACAAAAAUAACGAAAAUAACAAUUUAGGUAAAAUCGAAUAAAAUGAACAAAAACUAGGAAUAAAAAGAUAAAACCAACAUGCCAAAAUUUUUGUGCUUGAUUGAUGAUUUUCUCUCUUUUUUUUUUCUUUUUUUUUUUGAAUUAAUUAAUAAUAAUAAAACAAUUUUCUUAAUAGAAAUAAAAAUAAGAUGAGCAGAAAAUUAAAACCAAAUCAACUUAAUAAGAUAAAUAAAUACAUAAAAUAAAAAAAGUUAAAAUUUUGGUGUCUACACUUAUGAGUUAAAACUUAAGUCCAAAGUGCAAGAGGAAGAGGAUGCGAAAAUAAGAAGGAACAUUGCUCUAAAGGCAUCUCAAGAUAAAGAUGAUUCUGCUUCUCUAGAUGAAAAAGAUGCGGAAGCUGAUGAUAGUGAUCCAGCUCUCAUCACAAAAAGUUUCAUGAGAAUUCUCAACAAACGAGGGUUCAGAAAAAGAGGAAACAACAACACAUUCCCAAAUCAGUUCAGCAAUUUAAGAAACAAAGAGAAGCAAGAGUUCAAUAAAAUGCAAACUGAUAAAUGCUUUGAAUGCGGCCAACCUGGACACUACGUGAGUGAGUGUCCAAUGAAGUAGAGAAAGUUGAAAGAAAACCAAGAUUCAAUAACUUUCAAUUCACAUGGAAUGAGUGCAACUCCGAUAGUGAAAGUGAAGAGAAAGAAGAAUCUGCUCAAUUGGCUUUUAUGGCCAUUGGAGAUGAUGAGGUAACAACUUCUAAUUUUCAAUUUGAAAGUGAUGAUGAUCUUGAAUCUUUCAUUAUAAAAUUGCAUGAUAGUUUGAAAGAAUCUUAUGCUAGAAACAAGAAAUUAAAAUAUAAAAUCGGCCUUCUUUUUCAGAACAAUGCACGUUUUUUUCAAGAAAAUAAAAAGCUGAGAACUGAAAGUGAUUUCUUAAAAAAGAGUGAGACUGUUUUACUUUUUGAGUUUGAUAGAAAAACAAGACUUUGUGAAAUGUUCAAAAAGGAAUAAGGUGAUUUGAAAAAAAGAAUGAAUAAUUUAAAUGAGUUGGUCCAACAUAAAAAAUAAGACAGUUUUUAAGGUAAUAAAUCAAAACCUCAUUUUGGCACUUAUGAGAAGAAGAUAAAUUCUGUUACAAAUGAAUUUGCUAUUUAUAAGAGAAGACAAGUAAGAUUUAUUAAACAUGUUCAUGUAAAUAACUCUUUGGUUAUGUGUAAUUUUUGUUGUCAAAAAGGUCACAUGAAAAGUGAUUGCUAUGUGAAAAAAAACAUGAGAAGAGGUAUGAAAUGCAUGUGGAUAGUUAGACAUGAUACUGACUCUAAUAAAUAGUAGAUAUUGGUAAAAUUGGUGAGAUUCUUGUUCAUAAUAUUUUUUUAGUAAUUCUCUUUUGAUGUUUCUGAUGCUUUGAACUAAAUUUUUCUUGAUAUUUUUGAAUAUUACUAAAUUUGUAUGAUGUCAAAAAGGGAGAGAAAAGAACAACUCUGAUCUAAUAAUGAUUUGCUUUGUUAAACUCUCUGUGAUAUGUUGGUAUGUUGGUGAUUGCUGAAUUCUGAUAUCAUUUCUCUGUUUUUGUUUGAAAUAUUGAAUUCUCUGUUAUUGUUGCUGGAUUUUGGUAUGAGUUUUUUACUCUCAUCUUAUGAUGAUAAAAAAUGGGGAGAAAUGAAUGCUAUAUGUAAGGGGGAGUUAUUCUGAAAUUAUAAGUUUGGAUGCAAUGAGUGAGGGGAAGUUUAUGCUCAUAUGCUCAAUCUUUUUCUUUCUUCCAUCCAUUAUUUUGUCAUCAUCAAAAAAGGGGAGAAUGUUGACCUUGGUCCCUAACUUUUGAUGUUUACAAAAUAAUGGAUAAUACUAAUAUCUUUUCAAAAAAUACUUUCAGUUGUGAAGCAAAUCAGAUUCAAAAGAUCAAGUGCAAUUGAAAGGGACAAAAGCUGCUGAAAGCUGUCGGACGCUUGUGAAGUUAGGAUCGGACGUCCGAUACUCAUUGCGCAACCUCGGACACAUGAAGAACUCCAUCACCGGACGUCCGAAAGAAUUAAGACAUUCUACCUAACUCACUGAUCUCUUUCGGACGCAAGUACCGGACGUCCGAUAGAAUUGAAAAAAAUUUCUCAAACUCACUGCCUGCUGUCAGACGCAAAAAACAGGAGUACCGGACGUCUGACACUCCCAACGGCUAGUUGACUCUUCAGCUACUUUCUAUCCGUUGGAAGUAUUAAUGAAGCACUUUCUUGGUUUCCUAUAAAUAGAGUAUGGUCAGAAACUCCAAAUUACUUUUGCACACUGAAGAUACAAAAGAUCUAGAGUAGUUUUAGUGAGAAAACACUCUCCAAGGAAGAUUUGUAGUCUUAGUGGUGUGAGAUUCAUUGUAAACUUUUCAUUUGUGAGUGAAUACUUCAUGAAUGUAGCUCUGUGAGGGUUGUCUUGAGGGAUAGUAAAACUUCCUAACUUGAUCGAGUGGAGUUCGGGGUAAGGAGGAGGUGAACCUUCCUUUGUACACAAGAGUGAUUGUAAUUCAUCAACUUGAAGAAACUUGUUUGAAUUAAUUUACAAGUUCAAGAGGAGCUGAGUAGUUAAUUGGUUUGCAAUUUUUUCCUUUUUAUUUACCUAUUGUUACGUUUGUGAUUUUUACAUUGUUUAUCUCUUCUACUUCUCUCAAGUGAUUUUGUUCAUUCAUUAAUUGGUUCAUUGUGUGAUCACUUAGAAAAGAAGGUAAAUUUCAUAUUGAGCAAAAAGUGCCUAUAACUUGAUUAGCUUUUUAAUCAAUCUAAUUCACCCCCUCUUAAGUUGUUUUCGAUCUUUACAGGUAUGACCUUUACCCAAACAGGUAUGAUGAAGGAUGGUGGGAUAAUUUCAAUUUUAAUUAUGCGACCGGGCCAAUAGAUUUUCAACAGCAAGAGUCUCAACAACCAUCAUCCAUGCCAGGUAUGUCUCUUGAAGAAAUGAUUGAAUUUCUAGCUGCUAAUACAUAUCGAUUUCAUCAGGAGACACAAACGAGUAUUCGUAAUAUGACGGAUCAAGUGCAACUAUUGACAUCCGGGAUGGCGGAUCAAGUGCAUCUAUUGACAUCCAGGAUAACGCAAUUGGUUUCUCACAUUUGUGAAGAAUUCCCCUCACGGACCAACAUCAACCUUGAGGAAGAUGAAAGUGCAAUUAUCAAUUAUCCGGCCAAAUGACAUGGAACUGCAAGAGUUUCAAGGAAACGAAUCUAAAGAUGCAGUUGAAAAGGAAGUUGAUGUGCAAAAAAUGAGUCCCCAGUAUCAACUCAUCCAAGUGAAUGAAUCCAGUGGACAACCUCCAUAUGCGGUGACAUCUCCUCCAUUCCUUAAUCAAUAUUCUCCUGACUCUUAUUUUUUAAUUUCUGUUAAUGAAAUUGACUUUAUUAUACCAGAAAAUCUUGAAUUUCAUGACAGGAAUAAAUUAAGAGUGGCGAUGGCAAGGUAUCUUGGACCAAUAAAUGCAUGUGAGGAAGGAGUAAAUGGAAAAUUUAAAUUAUCGUUGACUUGUUUGUCGUCAUUUACUAGUCCAUGGAAGACCGUAACUCGUGUGCUCAAGAAUUAUUCUAUUUACGAGAAUUAUCAGAAUUAUAUAGAGGAUGAAUCAUUAAAACGAGUCACAAGAUUUUAUCCUCCAUGAACAAACAUGACAAUGUCUAACUAAAGACGUUAAAGAAAGGCGCUCAUUGGGAGGCAACCCAAUUUCUUUUAGUCAUUUGUUCGUUUUUAUUUGUUAGUUUAAAUAUGUUUUCCUUGAAUUUGACUGAUUUCUUGCUUCAAUUUUCAUUUUUGAUGACUCGUAGGUAUCUCUCUGACAUGACGUGCCCGCGUCAUGUCGUAUGGAGAGCUCAUGGUCAGAAGGGUUCUUGUUUUUUUACGUGCUCGAGUCACGUUCACGAGAAAGGUAAAUAUUCAAAUUUCGAGAAAAUUUUCGAUUACCUGUUAAUCUCUAAUUUUUAAUUUUGAAAAUAAGUUUUGUUAAUAAUAAUAUAGUAAAAAAAUGAAAAUAAAAAUAAUUAAAAAAAUAAAAAAAAAUUUCUUUCGUUUGACCGUAGCUUGGAUUUUCAAAUUUCAAAUUUUUAAUUUAAAAAAAAAACUAUUUCUUUUUUCUUUUUCUUCUUUUUUCUUUCUUUCCUUUUCUUUUUCUUUCUUUCUUUCCUUUCUUCCCUUCUUCCUCUUGUCUUUCUUUCUUCUUCCCCGAUCCCUUCUUCCCUUUGUCCGCCGCCACCUCUGCUCACUCACCACUCGCGCGCCGAAGUUCUCCCACAGUCGACGCUGCCAGCUUCUUCUCUCCCUUUCAGACCACCACUUUGACCCGACUUCAGGGAAGUUUUGUGGUCUUUUCUCCUACUUUUGAUGUUUAUUUGCUACAUUGAGGGCAAUGUAUCGUUUAGGUGUGGGGGAGGAUUAGUUGUGGUUCUAAUUUUUAGUAGUUUUUAGUUUUUAGGUGUUUUUUCUUUAUUUCUAGUUUGUUAUUUGUCUAUCUUUCAUUCAUUUUCUUUCUUUCUUUUUGGUGCUUAGUUCUCAUGUGAAUACCAAGGUUUGAUGUUGGGUUAUUGACUCUAAUUCUACUAUUGCCAUGUUUUAAUAAUAAAAGUGUAUCUAGUUAAUGUGGUUGAAUCCAGACGUCUCUUUGGUGAAUAUCGGUGAUUGCUUGAUUCUUUUGAUUUCUUUGUUAACUUUUCUAGGCAUAGGGAAUGAUUGUUGGCAUUUUUAUGUGAAUUGGUCUAGUAUUAACUUUAGUUCUCCAUAUUUGAAGAAAUGAGGCUAGCGGCUGCUAUUUUUGUUUUCUUUUGCUAUGUUAUUUUGAGUUAUUGUGUUAUUUGGCUGUGAAAUAAAGUUGAAUGUACUCCGCUAGUCAUUACUACUGAGUAACUGGGGAUCUUCACCUAAAGUGUCGAUUUUCGCAUAAAAAAGUAGUAAUUUCUAUGAGUACGUGGUCGUAUAGCGAUAAAAACUGAGUAACCGGGCUCCUUCAUCUGAAAAAUGUCGGAGUUUGGGUCAAAAGGCUCCAAUGGUUAGAGACUAAGUCUUUUGUGCUAUCUUAAAAAAAAGAAAAACAAAAGGAAAAAAUAAAUAAUAGAAAACGUGAAAAAAAGUGUAGGUUGUGUUAGUGUGUGAUAGAAGUCAGCUUGCCGAUUUCUGAAUUUAAUGUGGAGAUUUUGGUUAAUAUUUAGACCAUUUGUUGAUGAAUGUUGGGCGUCAUUCCUUUUUCUUAGAUUAGUUAAUUUGGAAUUGAAGGAGUUUGUGAUUUAGAAGCUAACCGGGGUAAUGUUUCUCGGAUUUUGAUCACUGGUGCUUGAUAUAUGAUUUUUCUUGGUAUCUUGGCAAUAUGGUAGAUAGAGCAAUAGCCAUUGUCAAAUAUUGGUGUUUAUUUAUUGUUCUUAUGUUUGAGGACAAGCAUGAUUUAGGUGUGGGAGGAAUUGAUAGGUUGCAAUUUUAUCAUUAAUUUUAUUAUUAAUUUCCCUUAUUACCUAAUCCAAUGUGAAUUAAUUAUUAGAUUCUAUUCACUUUUGACAAUUCACAUUUAUUUCAGGGAGUUGAUCGAAAACACCAUAACAAGUGCUAAUUUAGCAAUCAUCAGGAAAGAGCUCGAGUAGCAGGCAUCCAGGGACAUUUUUGGAACAACAAGAUGCGGACCCUUUUUGGUAAUUUGUGGAAGACAACAUUGAAAAAGAAGAAAAGGUUGGAGUCUUCGGCUGGAUGGGGGGUGGCCGCACAGUAGCAGUAGGCUACUUAGAUACGAAAUGGAGAUUGCAGAGAACUAGCACUAUCUUUAGCUUUUGACUUUUCUUCGUUUCUUUAGUUCUGAGUAGUUUUUCAUCUUCUUGAUACGCAGGACUUUUAGCUUAACGUUUCUUUUGACUUUUCCUUGAAGUCUUGGGUGGAUUCCUCCUGCGCAUGUCAGGAGCCCUUGGAGGAUUCAAUCACUUUCUGUAUUCUUUUACCAAUUGAACGAAUUGAACCCCCUCGAUCAAGGACAAUGGCUGCGACUUUUACUUCAAUUUUGCAUGGGUUUUUCGUAUCAAAUAUGAACUAAUUCCCUCACUCUAGUCAAGGAACAACAGAGGUUUUGGUUCGUCUAAAAAUUGUGAAAUCGAUUUAAUUUUAUCUUUUUCUUUUAUUUAUUGGUAUUCGCAUAUUUCUUGUUUGCAUUGCUUGUGAUUAUUUAAUUAAUUAAUUGUCUUGGAUCCGAAUAAUUAGUUAAUUUGGUAAUCUAUUGUCAAUUAGGGCAUUAAAUCCUUAAUUGCUUAAUUGCUUUAAAAUAGUGACAACUGACAUGAUUAGAUUUGUGUCAGGGAAAUAUGUGGGCUAAUCUGAAAUAACCCUGGUAGUGCUUUAUUUAGUUACAGUAGAGCUCCUCUAACACGUAAGGCAAUUGAAGAAUUAAAUCUUAUGGGCGUACCUAGGAUUAUUUCCCAAUUAGAGCAGUGAUUAACGGGUGUACCUUAAUCUCCGAUACAGUAAGGAGGGAUUGACUGUCAUCGCUUGUUUGUCAGUUAUAAUCUAUUUAUUAGUAACUAAUUGGAAUUGCUUGUGCAUCGUUGAUCAAUUAGGUGAACCAUUGUUGAAUAUUUCUUGGUUAGACCUUUAAUUAUUUUUACUCUAAUUUUAGUGAAUUGUCAUUUAAUUUCUAGCUAGCUAUUUAUUUUUAGUUUUAUUUGAAUUUCUUUGAUUGUCUUCGUUUAUACAAAAACACCCCCCGUGUUACUUUGAAUUUCUUAAGAGACAAAUAUCCUCAAUCCCUGAGAAUACGACCCUACUUGCCCUGUUUACAAAUUCAUAAUUAUUUGUGAAAAAAGCUAUCACAUUCGGGUAUAUCGGAUCAAGCAAAAUUUUCGGGAAUAUGGUGAAUCAAGUGCCCCAUUGCACACCUAGAGUUCUUGCUCUAGUACUUGGAAUCGGGUUUUGGCUACUUUAACUGGCAAUUAGGUUUAUUUUUAUUAUUGUACAGGUUUCGACAACCUGUCAGUUCUCAAAAUCAAAAUGGAGUAAAAUUAAUUUCAGAAAUUUAGGAUGAACUUCAUUUCCAAUUUUCUGAUUUAGAAUAUGAAUUUUCUGAACAGGAAGAUGUUACUGACCAUACCCUAUUGGCCUUACAGGUACCCGAUAAAAUAUGUAGUAUCCGACGAACAAACAACAAAGGGUCUUAUCCCCAUACGCUUGUUCAUAUUUUCCUGGAUAAGUAUUCCAAAUCAAUUCCAAUAAUUGCUUUCUUUGAUUCAAGUGCAUCUUUGUCAAUCAUGAAAAAAGACAUUUGACCUGAUGAAUGUUGGGUCCAUAAGACUCAUGAUUUCAAAGCAGCUAAUGGUGAGUUUUUUCAAACAAAGUUUACAACGAAAGACCCAAUCACCAUUAAACUUCUCCCAGAUUGUCAAAUAAAAUCAAAAUUUUUGGGAGCAAAUUUUACUGGAAAAGAUCUCAUUCUUGGUUUUGAUGUUUACAAGACUAACCAAUAUCGUUUUACACCUUUCGGGAUCAAGUCCAAAAAGUUUUUCAACCCUUAUUUGUUACCGUGGAUUAGUUCGUGUAACUAUUCUAUUUAAAUUAUUUCUACCUUGUGUCAAUUGGUAUCAGAGUAGGUUUCUCCUAUUUCUACAUUAUACCAAUGGCUGGCAACAAAUCUGGUGAUGAAACUUCUGCCCCUAAAUUGUAAAUUUAGAUUACAAACAGAUGGAUUGAUUGCUUGGAUAAAAAUAGUUGGUUGCUUGGAGAAUUAUAUUAACUGUAUCCAGGAAAACAUGGAGUGUGCUCGGAUUGUAAAUUAUUUGAGAUAAUUUUAUGAAAAAAUACUAUAGCACUUUUUGAUAUAAUGUAUGUAAGAUAAAAAGGUGAUUGAAAAAUAUAUUGAUGAUACAAGUAAAUCAGUAUAUAUAAAUAAGAUAUAAAUAAAGUAAAAUAAUUGACAAUCCAAACAUACUCAUGGAUAUCAUGAUGGAUCGUUUGAAUGAUGACAGAGUGCCCUUUGACCGAACUCGAGUCAUUGAUGAGCAACGAAGACUUCAUAGAUAGCAGGCCUAUGAGGAAGAUUCGUUUGCAAACGAGACAUUAAUUGAUUUGGCAGGGAAAGCCCUAAUAAAGAGGUAAUCGAGUCAAAAUUGAGAGCCUGAAAAUUUUAAAUUAAAGGUGGAUCUUCCCUCCUUCAAUGGUGAUUUAGGUAUUGAGGAAUUGGAUUGCAGAAAUUGAAAGAUUCUUCAACUACAUGGAAAUCCCAAAGACUUCACAAGUCAAACUCAUGGCUUAUCAGUUGAAGAGUAAUGCGUCAUCUUGGUGGGAACAGUUGCAAUCUCGAAGGCGUCACUGACGAAAAUAGCCUGUAAGGACAUGGGUUAAAAUGAAGCCUCUUUUGACUACUAGAUUUUUACUGCCUGAUUAGGAGUCGUACUUGUACUUACAAUUUUAACACUGUACCCAACGUAAAAGGUCUGUUCAUGAAUAUUAUUCUGAAAUUUUGCUAUUACAAUCCUGUAACAAUAUUAUGGAGACCGAGGGUCAACUCAUGUUGAGGUUCCUGGAUGGUUUAGAUACGAGUGUAUGGGAAGAAACUGGUAUUCAACCAUUUUUUAAGCUGUCAGAUGCAAACAACCUAGCCUUGAAAGCUAAGAUGAAUUUGGCUUGGAAACGAAAUGCAGGGAAAGGGAGUUCGGAGGAUCGUGUAGAAGAGUUCGUAGAAUCGCCAUUCAGUGAAGCAUCUUGGUCAGCACCAAAGGUUUGUCCAAGCACGACCAAUUAGUGACGUGAAGGGAACUAUUAAGAAGGUCAAUACCAAUCCAAACCCUCCACAAAAUCCUAAAGCUAAUAUGAAUACCUACGCUAAGCCAAUGUGCGAUAAGUGUUGAAGACGUCAGCAAUCUGGGCAUCAAUCACAUAACUGUCCAUAACAUAAGGCUAUGAAUUUUGUGAAAAAUACGGGACAGGAUGAUAUGGAGGAGAAAAGCUGUGAGUGACUAGUGUAUGCGGUGCAAAGAAUUGAGUCUAGGGAGGAAAAGUUUGAUAAAUGACGCGAGCAAAUUUUUAGAACCAGGUGCAAAAGUUUUAAUCAAUUUUUUGACUUGGUAAUUGCUAGUGAAAGCUGUGAAAAUAUUAUUUCUAGAUUGAUAGUGAAAGCUGUGAAAAUAUUAUUUUUAGUACUUUGGUUAAAUUGCUAAAUUUGCUUGUUGAACUAUAUCAUGAGCCUUACAUGAUUAGCUGGAUAAAGGAUGUGAAAUCUGUAAAAGUAGUUAAAGAGGUAUUUAGUUCCUUUGUCCAUAAGUAAAUAUUAUAUUGAUAGUGUUAUGUGUGAUAUGGUGGAUAUGGUUGCAUGUCAUUUGUUAUUUGGAAGAUCAUAGCAGUAUGAUCAAGGUGUGACUUUCUAUGGAAGGGAAAAUGUCUAUCGCUUCGUUAAGGAUGGCAAGAAGAAGAUUGCUUUAGUGCCAAUGAAGCCAGGGUAACGGUCCAAAGUAGUUCAUAUGGUUGACAAUAACUUAUUAACUAUUAUAACUUUGGUUUGUGAUUUGAAUGGAGGUAAUGAGCUAGAUGCUGUCAAAGUGGAAGAAGUUAUUUCUCAUGAUAUACUUGAAGAGAAAGUGCCACAAGUUGAAGAAGGUAGCGUGCAUCUCAGUAAGCCACUAGAUACAACCCCAAUAGAGUUCAUGCCAGCUUUUAGUGAAGAUUGGGUGAAUCAAAGUCUGGUGAAUCUUCAAGCAGUGGGUGUCGAGAAGAAGCCUGAUCUAAUGAAGACUUUCAUUGUUCAAGAGGACAAUUCCAAAUUUAUUUUGACAAUGGAGAAUGAUAUGGUCAUUGCUUUUGAACUUGUAUCUGAGUCCAUGGCGAUGGAGUUGCAAGUUUUCUUUAUAAUCCAGUUCGUGUUGGUGGUUGAAAGGUCUUUUUGACUUCAAAGGAGAAUCGUGGAAUUGCUAGUCUGUGGGUGCUUGAAAGUUUCCUUGGGAAUUCGAGAUCGAGUUCUUUUGAAUUGGAGAGGACUGGUGUGGAAUGAGUGGCACAAGAAAUCUUAGACCAAAUCGAUGAAGCAAAGGAGCAUAAGAAUAAGCGGCGCGGAGAACAUUCUGAAGCAUCAGGAUGAAAGCACGGCCUAAAAUAUGGCCUCACCUGUGUUUUCAUCACCCACGUUUUGCUUCCCGAAGACUUCCAACGACAACUCCAGCGCCACAACCGAUGCCAGACUUCAUCAGAUUGUUUUUGCAUUUUCCGUUUGGUUUCCAUUUUUUAUGUAAUUUCAUUUCCUCUUUGAUUUAGAACUUCUUAGCUAUAUAUAGGAAAGUAUUAGGGCUUGUUUUAUGAGACUUUUGAUAUAAUUCUUGAAAUUUUUAACACUUGGUGUGUUUGGAUUCUAUACCUAGAUUGGAUUCUUCUUGAAUCUAGACGAGGUUCUAGUUGAAUUUUGGAUUUUCUUUUUGGUGUUUGAUCAUGAAUCAACCCUUGUUUGUCUCUGUGGAUUAGUUCGCGUAACUAUUCCAUUUAAAUCACUUCUGCCUUGAAUCAUCUAGGCUUGUAGGUAUUGCAAUUUAAACGAAAUUGCAGUGACAUAAAAAAUGAGAUCGAUCUACUGGCAUUGCUGGAAUGCCAAAUUUCUAACAUUUUCUACAACAGCAAUAUCUGAACUUUUCUGAAGACUAAAAGGUGAUUUCUAAUCAUCUGCACUUCGCUAAUUAUUUUGUAAGUCAUAAUAGUAGCACCCUUAGGAUAAUUCCUUGCAUUCUGCAAGCUGUUUGUACAUCCAAAUUUUUCCCAGAAGGACAACGAAUUAUUGUUCAAAACUUAAAAGACAGAUUAUCAAUCUUCUGAUUUCUUGGGAAGAGAAAAUAUGAGAAACAAGCAAAGUGGAACUACAACAAAAGCAGCAGCCUUCAGCAAAUCCUCGUUCUCUUUCGAGAUAACUCCAAUUCUUGACCAAUCUCCACUGUACCUGAAUUAACACGAAGUGAUUGCAAAACGAGAAAUAACUGCUUAAGAUAACUGAAAGGACCUGCAGACAUGUACAUAUUUACCCGGCAUCGAUGAAUCCCAAUGAAAACACUGCAAUCGCAGACUGUGCAAGAAAUGUGUUUGAAAUUUUGAGAGAAAAAUUUGGUUGUUCAGUUGGUGAAUUCUCUGGCAAAUCGCGCUUCUUUGCCAAUGGAAAUGUGGCAGGUUUUCUAAGAGUUAAGUUUGGCAAGGAAAAAGAAGCCUUAGCACCACAAAAACUGGCGCUCUGUUGCAUCAGCAUUUUGUUAUCAUCUAGAACCUGAGAGUUCUAAGUGCUCAUUAUCUACUACUAUAUCCGAAUGAGUGGCUGCCAUUGAAUCUUUGAAAAUCAUAUCCUCGUACCAAAAGAAAAAGAAGUUCAUUUCCUAGCAAAUCCACGCUAAAGAUGGGUUCAACCGUUCAAGCAUUUAUAGCUAGUCUUUAAAUAUAAGGAUUUUGACUUUCAUAUGGUUAUAGCCUUUUUUUUUUUUUUUUCUUCACAGUGGGUAUCUGGGCCCAAGGACUGGUUACCGUACGGCCCAACUAAUCCCACUGCGGGCUGGGAGCGGCUCGCCCUAAGCAUCACCAGCCACGGUAAACCGGGGAUUCGAUCCCGUGACCUAGCUCUCCCCCAACUGGGACUACAACCAGUGACCUGGCUUUCAUAUGGUUAUAGCCUUAUUGACACACUUUUCUUCUUUGACUGUUUAGCUUACAUUUGGCCAUUACCAUUCUCAAACCUCAAUUCCUUCAUUUUUCUUUUAAUAGUAUUAAAUGAUGUUCGAAAUUAGAGGAAGAAAAGAAAUGAAAAGUAAGGGCAUAUCGUUUUGGUAAAUCCGUUUAUAUAGCUCUGAGAAUAUUAAAAAAAAAAAAAAACUCACUUUUUGAGUAGUGAAAGGAUAUGGUUCUACUGAUCCAAUAUGGAACCAGUUAUAUUCCAAUAACUUUUAGUCAGAGAAAUUUUGUGCUUUAUAGAUACAAAUGGAGGAGGAUUGAGAGUUGAAGUGAAGUGCUGGUAAAUGUUCUUACGACUUGGGUUUUAAGAACAUAUGGAACCACUUUAUUAGUGGCAAAUAAUUUACAAUAGAAUGUAACUCAUCACAAUUUGAAAAAAAAAAUUUCGCUGUAAAUAUCUCAUUGUCCGGGGACUGCAUUGGUCAUCGAUUAAUUCAAAAUCUAGCACUAUGUCCUCCUUUAGGGAGGCUGGUUCUCCUGUCAUAAUUUGGAUUUCAAAUCUAAAUUUUAUAUUUGUUAAAUGCAUCCAGUUCUGUUCGCUUAUAUAUUAUCAAUGUAGAGAACAUUAACCCUUCUAUGUACAAAUAAUUGAAUUUAAUUUUAAUUGUGGCAUUCAUGCUCGGCAUGGCAAAGGCUUCACAAGCCAGUAUAGGGAAAGCUCAAUGCAAAUAAUUUUUUAUUUUUUAUUCCUUUUCUGUUCUUAUAAUUAAAGAAGGGGAUGGUGGGAUGUGCAAUAUGAAAUGGGACAAAAAUUUUUUUUUUUUAAAGAAUGACAAAAGAAAUGAAAAUGUUAACAACUAUGCUAUGCUUGUAAUUUAGCACCUAGUGACCAGCAUCUUUAAUUGUUACAAAAGUUAAAUUAAAUUAUCCUUGCAUUCUUAAACAUUAUCCACCACAAAAAUCAAAAUCAAUAUAUAUACAUAUACACGUAUAGACGCGCACACACACAGUAAUAAGGCCAAGAUUAAUAUUACAAUUUAAGAAAUAAAAGCAACUUCAAAUAAUCUGAGACAAGACCCAUGGGCUCAAAGUUUAGCUGGGCAAUGGGUCUUAACAAGCAACAAUUGGGCUUGGCCAAGACACGGUGUACGAUUCUUUGCGACAUUUGCUCUUACUUCCGCGGCAAAAUUUCAAGUAAAGCAGCCCUCAAAAGAAAAUGAGCAAAUGGUGGCCCAAAAAAAGAGAACAUUAUGGCAUGAACAGUAAGACAGGACUAUAUAAACAAUUAUAUACUACACGAAAAGCUUAAAACAGUCAAUUUAUUGAAAAUUAUCAAACGACAUAGCUCUAAAGCUAUUCCCUGAUUACUCAAGUCAAUUUGUAAAAAAAAAAAAAAAAGGACUAACUUUGAAUCCAUUUAUUGACCAGCAAACGACAACAAUAAUAUAUACUACUUCUGGGCUAAGUAUUUCAAUUUGGAUGUAUGUAAUCUAACAUUUUGUAUCUUCUCUCCUUUCCUUAAUGGCAUCACCACCAAAGCCUUCCACAUAUCCUUAACCAUUCUCAUGUAAAAAUAAUUUUAAAAAAAAAGGAAGAUAACACUACCAGAAGGCAAGAAUAAAUGAUGAUUACUCAAUUUGUGUCGAUAAAUCAAUUGAUUUGAUAAACAUUCCAAAACUAUCAAAUUUCGUAAAAUGUCAAUGCCUAUGUUGUCAUACAACAGCAGUCAACAAAAAACAAAGAACAAAAUGGGUGAAAGAAAAUCCUAAGAUAUUUAUAGGCUACAUCAGUUUUCCAAAAUAGAAGAAGGAAAAGUAGCAUAAAACAUAAAUAAAAAAAAGGGAGAAUUGGAGUUUUGGUCCCCAAUUUAUAACAAAUACGUGAAACUAGUCCCCAAUCUAUUUUGGAGAACAAAUGUAGUCCCCAAUCUAUCCAAAUUUGCUCGAAAGUGGACAAUUAACGGGUUUUCUUCAAAUUUUGCUGGAAACAAGUCAGAAGAGAGCACGUGCCGGCGGUUAAAAUCCUUUUUUCAAUUUUUUUAGCGUGAAAACUCAUACAAAAUUAUUUCCAGCUUUCUAGUCCCCCCUUUUUUUAUUAGCAAAGACAAAACACACUAAUUGUAUAACCAAAAAAGGCAAAAAUAAAAAUAAAAAAAACACCCCUUUUUUCUUUUACUUCAGUCUCCAGAAAUGAGAACAGAAAACCAGAUUAAGUUCCGUGCAUAAAAUCAGUAAAUCGGAAGAAAAAUCUUGAAGAACUCGGUGAUAAUGGAGUUGUUCGUGAAUCUGGGAGGAGGAAAUGGCACUAAGACCAAAAGAAAUGAAUGGAUCACCGCCACUAGAUUACGGUAUGUGAUUUUGACCUCAUGUAGCAUUAUGCAUGCUUAAUUCAUGCUUAUAUUGUAAGAAUGUGAUGAUGAAUGGUGAUAUUUUCACUUGGGAGACAAAAAAUAUCGUAAAUUUUGGAUUUUUAAGUAAUCUGAUAAGGCCCUAAAAACAAACUUGUCUACCAUUGUAUGUGGUCCCGUAUGUCUCUCUGGAGUGGGUUGUCAUGGUAGACAAUGUUGGGUUAAAUGAGACUUUGUAAGUGGUCCUUGUCUGAACUUUAUAUGGCAGGAGGUGUAUUAUUGAAUUGUCUUGAAGCUGAUUGAGUGCAAAUUACCUGCUUAUAUAAUCUAAUUUGUCACUUAUGGUACUUGUUUAUUGUGUUUGUUUUAUUUUUUUUGUCCUUAAAUUCAAACAGUGAUAGCACUGAAGUAACUAUGAAGUGUUAUAUAUGGGGAAAAUGUGAAACCUAACCUAAUGUGCAUUAUAAGGGAGGAGAAUUAAGGAUUUUUUAUCAUGUAGAGGUCACAAGCAUUAGUCUAUUUGAAAUGAAUAGAAUGCUAGAAAAUCAACUUCAAGCAGUUGGUGACAAAAAGUACCAUAUCCUAAUCGAGAAAUAUGGAUUUCGUUUGUUAAGGCAUGAUAGAGAAUUACAUGCAUAUUGUGCUGAUCAUUUUGACUCUAGCAGGGUGGUUGAUUUGUAUGUAGAGGAUUCUUUUAGUGAUCUACUAGCAUCACAAUAGGGGUCUGACAUUGAGGAUGUGGACUUUGUGUUAGAAGAUGAAGAGGAUGAAUAUGAUGAUGAAUAUAUGGCUAGUUCAGGCUCUGAUUUGGCGGAGUUCUCAGGAGAAGACUCAAAUUAUGAUCAAAAUUCAGAUGAUAAUGAUUAUGAUGAAAAUGUUGAUGAAGAUUCUGAAUGGUUGGGGUAAAAAAUAGAAAACAAGAGCAGCCGAAUAGGCAUCUAAAAAAAAGUCUACAUAUGUUAGGAUGAACCACAUACCUAGGAAACAAAUGUCUAAUGAUACUGAAAGUGAUGAUGACAAUUCUGACAUAGAUGCUGCCCCAAAUUCAAAUACUGAUAUUGGUAGUGAUAGAGGGUCGGAUGAAGAGAAAAGCUUGAGACCCCCUAUGUUUGAUCCCAAGGAUGAAAAUAACCCCAAAAUUAAACUUAGACAAAUUUUUUCUUCCUUCAAGGAGUUGAAAGAAACAAUUAGAACCUGGAACAUUAGGAGAGGGAGACCAUUUAAAUUUAUCAAGAGUGACAUCAUAAGAAUUAGAGCAAUAUGUCCUAAAGAUGGGUGUGAUUGGUGCAUAUAUGCUAGGAGGAUGAAAGGGGAUAACAGAUUGGAGGUUAGAAUAUUUCAAAAGAAGCACAAAUAUGGAUUUUCAUACCACAACAAGAGUGUGAAGUUUGGAUGGGUAGGAAGAAGGUAUGUUGGCAUAUUUAGGGAGAACCCAAGGCUGGACUAUGAGUGUGUUUGGAUAGAGUAUUAUUUGAAAUAUUAUUUGGAAUAAUUACUAUAGCACUUUUUGUGAUGUGAUGUAUGUGAGAUAAAAAGUAAUUGGGAAUAUGAAAAGGUGAAUUGAGAAAUGUGUUUAUGAUGCAAGCGAAAUAUUAUUUGGGAAAUGUUAGUUUCAAAAAAUUUGGUAAUGAAGGAGCACAAAUGUUAUCUUAGUAAACAUUAAGACUAUAGAGCUAAGAAAUUGCAGAGAAUUUGGCCAAAAGUAGUGAGAUGGAUUAAUAUAAUAAACUGCCUCAAUAUAUCAAUGAAAUCGAGAGAAGUAAUCUAGGUAGCAUAGUAGUUAUGAAGCUGGUAGAUGACUAUUGUAAUGCAGUAACUGGAUAAGGCAAAUUUCAGAGAUUAUACAUGUGUUUUGUUGGGGUAAAACAGGGGUUCUUAGAAUCUUAGCAGCUUGUAGACCUGUGUUCGGAUUGGAUAGAAUUUUUCUCAAAGGUUCAGCGGCGUGUGUACUAUUGACAGCAGUUAGAGUUGAUCCAAAUAAUGGAAUGUAUCCUAUAGCUUAUGCAGCAACUGAGGGAGAAACCAAAGACUCUUGGAUUUGGUUUCUAACAUUACCCAAGGAAGAUUUGAAAAUUGAAAGGGACUAUGAGUGGACAAUAAUGAGUAAUAAGCAAAAGGGAAUAAUCCAAGCAUGUGAAACAAAUUUUUUUUGAAUGCAACUCACAGAUUCUGUGUUAAACAUAUGCAUAGUAACAUGUCAUCUACUGGGUUCAAAGGGGCAGCAAUGAGGAAAGCUCUCUAGAAAGCAGCUAAGGCAACUACUCCAAUGCAAUUCAUAAGAAGAAUGGAGGCAAUUGCAAAACUUGAUGCUGAAACUGCUAAGUGGUUGGAUGACAAGAAUCCAGCAGAGUGGAGUAGAUCACACUGUAGCACUUACCCAAAGUGUGAUAUGUUGCUAAAUAACAUAUGUGAAUCCCUCAACAGCAAGAUCUUAGAUGCUAGAGAGGAGUCAAUUGUUGCAAUGAUGGAAUCAUUGAGAUAUUUUAUGAUGUCAAGAAUGCAAGAAAACAGAGACAGAGCUAGAGAAAAAUGAAACAAAUAUGCAAUCUGCCCAAAAAUCAGAAAAAUAAUGAUAGAGAACAUAAAUAAGGCAACUUACUGUGUGCCUUACAAAUCCAACGGAGUUAACUAUGAAGUUGAUGAUCCCUAUGGUGAAAAGUAUGUAGUUAAUAUUAAAGAAAAGACAUGCUCUUGUAGAAAAUGAGACUUGAUAGGGAUACCUUGUUAUCAUGCAAUUUCUGAACUUUGGAUUGCAAUGAUGGAUCCAAUGGAGUAUGUUGAUGAUUGCUAUAGUGUGGAAACUUAUCUCAAGUGUUAUGAGCCAUGCAUACUACCUCUUCAUGGAGAGCAAGAUUGGGCAGAUGUGAAUGUCCAGCCACCACUCCCACCAACAUAUGGAAGAGCACCAGGAAGACCUAAGAAACAAAGGAGAAAAUCUAUUGAUGAGGUGCAGGAAAUGAAAGAUAAAAGAGUUAAAUAAGAAGAUUUGGACAAAUCUGUAAAUGUACUUACUAUGGGGAAAAGGGUCAUAACACAAGGACAUACAAGCUUAGGCAACAUUCACAGAUUCAAGAUGGAUUGCAUGAAGCACAAUGUGUAGAUGACUUGUCACAAUUGGAUACAAACCAUACCAUCUCUAUGAGUGAUAAGAUCUAAUUUAUUUGAAUUCAAAUACUGUGAUUUUGUAUUUGCUUAAUGAUAAUGGUUUUAAUCUCAUGUUCUAGGUUGAAGGUAUUAGCUCCACUGCUAAGAAGACAACAAGAAGAGCAGUGAAAAAAGCUGUACAGUUUUCUUAUAACUUGAAUUUGAUUUUAUAUUCUUACCAGCAUAACUACUGCGCAUACUCAUUACUCAUACUACUGUUGUGCAAGGAAAAGGCACCAGACGUGUAGGAAAGAAAGUAACUUCAUCACAAAAUAGCCAACAAGCUACUGAGAGCAACAUAAUUUCUUCUGCCUCUGUUGCUGAACCUAACUUAUAUGAGAUUUUUGAAAUUUCAGAUCCACAUGUGGCACAUAUCAGCCAACUAGUUGCUCCUAUUACUUCUGCACCAUUUAGAAUUAGGGAUGUUCAAAUUCAUUUUGAACUCCCCAAGACCAGUGAACGUGGUGACAAGUCCAAUGUUAAAGGAAAAACAAAAGUGAACUAAUUAUGUAUUUCAUUUAUUGAUGACCGUGUUUAUGUAUGGGUAGACUUGGUAUUUCUUUUGUUAUGUUAGAAGUAAUGCAAAUGUUGCAAUGCAGCUUCUUUUGUACUUCUUUUGUCAUGCCUUCUGAUGAAGUCUAUGUAUACUUUGUAAGGGAGAAUUGGAGGCCCCUUUUUCUGAUGAAGUCUAUGUAUAUUUUGUAAGGAAGAAUUGGAGGUCCCUUUUUAUAGUUGUAAUAACUGAAUUGCAAUAUUAUUUAAAGAUUGCUGGCUUCUGGGCAGAAUUGUUGCAGUUUCCUUUCUCAAUUGAGUUGUGAAUAUCUUGGCAUCAUUUACAAAUGUGCUUGUGUUUUACAGGGAUAAUUUCCAAAUAAUGCCUUCAUUUGGCCUCUAAAUUGCCAUCACUUUACAUGUAUAAUAAGAUGCUAGACAGAUAUUUACUAAUCCAACUAUUAAAUCACUCUUAAAUAGAGGCUCAAAAGAUCUUGAAAGACUAUUAAUUUUAUAUCAACAAAUGUCCAUUACAAUUUACAAUAGCACUGAAUACAACAUUACCGAUAUCUUACUAGCAACGUAAUACAUCCCAACCUACACAUUCACCCACUGCAAGCAAAAAACUCCAAAAUUCUGAAUAAAUGUGUUUUAGCUAUUAGCUUGAACAAGAUUGCUGAUUACUAGUAGCUUGUCACAAUCCGCUAAAACAUAGAUAUUCCAUCCUAAUUUCUGGUCUUUUACACCAGUAAAACAAACAACAACAACAAUACCAACAACACAAUUGCAGAGACUAAUUUUCUUUCCCUUGCUCUUAGUUUUUCAAUUGUGGCAUUCUUAGCAUUCAUGCUCCACAGCAAACCAGGUAUCAAAGCAGUGGUUCUUUGGCACAUUAUCAGAUCAUACCACUCGAAAUAGUUGUAACCUUUUUCAUCUCUUUUGCCCUUCACGGUCAUAAAAAAUAAUGCUUCAGAAAAAACCUAAAAUUCAGAAGCUGAAGCAAGAAUUUGAGAUAGCCUAUACCUUCUUCAUGCCGCAGCUAAAAUACCUUCUUCCAGGGUUGCUGUGUGUCCAAGAGGUAAUCAUCAUUACUUGUAACUUACAGUGGCGAAACUUUUCUGGUAUCAUGACUACAUACAACUAGCUAAGAAGACAAAUUUGUCAAAAUUAUGCCAUGAGUGUGAACGGAUGAGAAAACCCGAAGCUCUUCAAUCUCGAUCUGUACAAGUCUUUGUCACUUCCCAUUAAUUGAAUUUGGCUACAAGGGUUUUUUCUUCAGUUGGGGAAGAAUAGAGAAAACGACGGAAAGAAAGAAAGGGAUAGAUUGGGUUUUGUCUUUGUUAAUCAAAAAUUUUGCCAAUCGCUUAAUUAUAUAGUAGAUUAAUAGUAAUUAAUAUAAUUAACUCCAUUUGCUAAUUGUGUUUUGUCUUUGCUAAUAAAAAAAGGGGGGGACUAGAAAGCUGGAAAUAAUUUGUUAUGAGUUUUCACGCUUAAAAAAUUGAAAAAAGGAUUUUAACCACCGGCACGUGCUCUCACGUGACUUGUUUCCGGCAAAAAUUGAAGAAAACCCGUCAAUUGUCCACUUUCGAUCAAAAUUGGAUAGAUUGGAAACCAUAUUUGUUCUCCAAAAUAGAUUGGGGACUAUUUUCACUCAUUUUGUUAUAAAUUGGGGACCAAAACUCCAAUUCUCCCUAAAAAAAUGCUAAACUUUGUUUUAGACAGAAGAUCCUUGAUAUUUACAUGAUUUUAAAAAGUUUUAUUUGAUAAUUUUUUACAUGAUUUAAAAGUUUUAUCUGGUGUUUUUUUACACAAUUUGCUUGACUUAUUAAAAACUUGUGAGUGAUGUUUCCAAAAUAUCUCUAUUUAGUUGGUCAAUCAGGAAUUAGAUUAGUUUUAGGUGGUGGUGCCACUACAAAGACGUUUAAUUGGAAUAGUAAAAUAAGUUCACAUAUCAAAUUAGUUAGGAUUAAAAGUUAGGGACUGAAUUGGCACAAGUGAAAAAGUUGAGGGAUGAAAUUGGCCAUUUUUGCUAAGAGUGUAAUAGGGAAAGAAAUAGAUAAGCAUCCCGGCAAAUAAGAAAUAGAUAAGGCGACAAAGGUUCACCUUGUCUUAGUCCUCUUUGAGGGGUGAUUGAGCCCACUUGACACCAUUGAGCAUGAAGGAAAAGGUGAUUGAGGAAACACAUUUAUGGAUUAUAGAGAUGAAACGAGUGUCAAAACCUAGAGCAUUCAUAACUUUUAAAAGAAAAUUCCAUUCUACCCUAUCAAAGACUUUACUUAUGUCUAAUUUGAGCGACAUCAGACCAUCUUUACCCCAAGUUUGGUGUAGUUCAUAUGAGACCAAAACAUUAUCAAUAAUAAGCCUACCUGGAAUGAAAGCAGACUGGGAUUCUGAAAUGAUUUCAGGCAAAAGGGAUCUAAUUCUGUUAGCAAGAACCUUUGAAGCUAGUUUAUAAACAACAUUACAAAAAGAGAUUCGCCUAAAUUGAGAUAUUUGGUCAGGGUUUUUGCACUUAUGAAUAAGAACAAGAUGUGUAAAGUUAACUUGAUCAUUGAAGACACAAUUAUUCAAAAAAGAUAGUAUAAAAAAAUGUGAUAUCUUGGCCAACAAUAUUCCAAUAUUUUUGACAUUGGACUAAAACCGUUUGGACCUAGAGAUUUAUAUGGAUGCAUCCGAGAGGGAGAUUUCGUUACCACAUUUGCUGUGAAGGGCUCAAGAAUUUUUUUAAUUUGUGGAAAUGUUAAGGAAAUUUAGGAUAGGGAACAAAAUUUGGGAUUGAAAAUUUUGUAACAAAUAUUAAAAGGCCUAAAUUUAUAGGAUUUAUAGUACAAUGUACCUACACAACUAACUUAGACAAUACAAUGAAUUUGGAAAACAGAUUUAUACAAGAUAUUAUCUUUCUAAUUGAUUCUAAUUAAUCAUAUAUGCAUAUAAUAAAAAUAGGCUCCAUGUGGAUUGCACUUAUUUUUUCGAAAACUAUUUUGUUUGUGGAGUCUACUUUAACAACUCCAAAAUACACACAAUUUUAAAUACAAUUUACACAAAAAAAUCUUAUCACAUUUUCUUUUUCCACUCACAACCACCACCCGCCACCACCACCACCACUUCUCUCCUCUUCCCUUCUCCUCCAUCUCUACCUCUACCACCACCACUACUACCACCGCUACCCUUCCUCUCUCCCCUCUCCUCCCUCUUUCUUUCUCUCCACCUUCUUCCUCCUCUCUCUUCCCCUCGUCUUUGUUGCUCUCCCCUGCAACACCCUUCCCUCCCUCCUUCCCCUAUAGGGAGCUCGCAACACCAUUCCCUUCCUCCCCUAUAGGGAGGUGGAAGGAGGGAAAAAGAGAGGAGGAAGGAGGAGGGAACAAGGCAGUGGUGGUGGUAGUGUUCAAUUUUUUGAGAAAAAAAAAUACCCCAAAAAUUUUUAAUUUUAAAAAUAUCUCAAAAUACAUCCUCAAAAACACCUCAGAAAUACCCAAACAUCUACAGUAAAAUUUUUUAUUUUGGAAGACUGAUGACUUGACUAUUCUAAUGUUCUGCCAAGUGAACUAUACUAUCUAUCUUUACACUUCGUAAACAUAUUUAAUAUUUGUGUUUUUUAGUUUUCUUAUUCUCUUUCUAUUUUUUUCAACAAUUAAUCCCUUUUCUUUUUCACUUUCAAUCAAUUUAUUAGUUUCUGCGUUAUAUAUUUUGUAUUUGUUUUGCCUUAUUGAAUCUUUUUAUCAAUCAACUUACAGUUUUAUUUCUUUCUCUCCAAUCAUGUUUUGCAAUUUAUUAUUUGGCUUGAUUAUCUAUUAGAAAUUACUAUUACUAAAUUUUGGAAUUUUUUUUUCUUUUUCUUUUUUAUUUCUCUUGAUAUAAUAAUUUGCUGUUCAAUUUUUUGUAUGGUAAGUUGUUGAUUUGGCUACUCUCACAUUGUGCCAAGUGGAUGCCCUAUUUUUUUGCCACAUCUAUAUAUUUUACAAUUUACUUACCUAGUUUUUAGUUGAACAAGAAUCACCCACCUUUUUUCCAUAAGCUUUCUUUCCUUAAUUUAUUGUGUUUUGCAUUAAUGAUUAGAGUAAGCAAAAUUUGAUUAUCCUGAUCAUGAAUUAAUUAUUUUUUAUUGUGUUUAACUUGAAUAUUUUUAUUUAAUAUUUUAGUUCUUUGAUAUCAAUAUUUAUUAAAAAGGAAAAAGAGGAAAAAAAGAUAAAAAAAAAGUGCCUGUGCAAAUGCACGUGUAAAUAACUAGUGGUUAUGUAAAAUAAUGUACAUUAACAAGAAAAAAGAUGCAAAUUUUAUUAAUUGAAUACUCCAAAUACAGGAUUAGAAACAACAAAAGUAGGUAGAGAAUCAUUCUAAAUACAGGAAUCAGAAAUUGAUAAAAUAAACUUAACUGAAAGAUGAGGAACCACAUUCUUAUUUCUGAAAGUUCAAGAAAUCUCCCAAAUUGAACUUUGCAAAUGAAAAAUGACCUCCUCAAUCAUAAUAUAUAGCUGAGUACGAAAUCAUCUUGCUCAAAAUUCUCAAUCCUCUUGAUGGUGCUUUGCCAUUCUCCCUCAAGGAUAACCCUCCUGCAGAUUUUGCUAAAGACGGUGGCUAAUCUUGAACUUGAAGACAGAGUUGGAAAGCUAAUCUUGGCGGUAGCUAAUCCUGACCUUAACUCCAAUAUAGGCUUGGAUUUAGAAUUUAGAUUACUUCAUUAUGCCAUUCAAAUCUUUGACUAGGGACGGGGCCACAAUUAAUCACAACAAUCAAAUUCUAUUUGGCUGCUUCAAUAGACGUGGUGGGCCCCAUUCAUACAAUUUGACUGGCCCUUAGUUCCGGUGAAUGAAACUUUUAAUUGAAUUAAACAUUACUAUUUAUUUUUACAUUAUUUUACAUGGAAUAUAUAUCCUCUAACUAAAAUUGCCACAUAUCAUUCGUAACUCAAAUAAUUGUUUUUUUUUUUUCAUGCUUAGUGUUGAAAAGGCUUCACAAGUUAGUUUUUGGUCAAACUCAUUGCAAAUAACUUUUAAUUUUUUACUUUUCAUGUUCUUGUAAUUAAAGAAGGGGAUGGUGCGCUGUGCAAUGCGGAAAUCAAAUCCAAGUUUUAGAAUGACAAAAGAAAAGAAAAUCCUAACAACUUUGCAAUGUAUAAUCCCCACUGCUUUUUGUAGAGUAAAUUGCUAAUAAAGUAAAAAAAAAAAAAAAGGAUGAAAAACUAAAUGAACCAAAACACAAUGAGCAAGUUGUGAACUUUUGCCAUGACUACAAUUUUGGGUCAAUGAAAAAGAAACAUAUUGACUUAAAUCCCCAAUGAGAGAGUUCUGUUAUAAUCUAUUAGCUAUAUUGCAUAAUCAUUUUUCAGGGAGUGGAGUCCCUGUUACAAAAUUUGAAACUAGUGAAAGACCUCGAUCAGGUUUAUAACUUGGUACUUGGUGACCUGCACCUCUAACUGUUGCAAAUGUCAAAUUAUUCUUGUAAUCUUGAACAUAUCC
rnacentral:lncRNA from 1 species